rnacentral:lncRNA from 1 species
AGGAUAUAAUUACGGGUGGAACCGACACCACAACUACGAUGGUGGAAUGGACAAUGGCAGAGUUGAUGCAGCAUCCACAAGUAAUGAAGAAAGUUCAGGAAGAAUUAGCUCAAGUUGUGGGCAUGGACAGUUGUGUUGAAGAAUUUCAUUUGCCUAAACUGAAAUAUUUAGAUGCUGUGGUGAAAGAAUCGUUUCGUCUGCAUCCUGCAGUGCCUUUAUUAGUACCACGCAGAGCAAGCGAGAGUGGCAGCAUUGGUGGCUAUACCAUUCCCAAAGAUACAACUCUUAUGUUGAAUGUUUGGGCUAUCCACAGGGACCCUCAACUUUGGGAUAAUCCCUUAGAAUUUCGACCCGAGAGGUUUCUGAAUGUUGGUGUCGAGAGUAAGUUCGAUUACUCAGGUAACAAUUUUCAGUACUUACCUUUUGGUUCUGGUAGAAGAAUGUGUGCUGGGAUUCCUCUAGCUGAGAGGAUGCUGAUGUUUGUUUUGGCUUCGUUAUUGCACUCAUUUGAGUGGGAAUUGCCAGCUGGCACAAAGCUAAAUUUAUCUGAAAAAUUUGGGUUUGUCAUUAAGAAAAAAGAGCCUUUGGUUGCUAUUCCAACACCAAGACUAUCCAAUUCAGAGCUUUACCAUUAAAACAGAAUGAUUGUGAUGAUUUUGUUAGUAUCGGAAGAUUUGUAUGUUAUUUCAAGUUCAAUCGUAAUAAAAUAUUUUAAUAAAAGUCCUCCGUUGCUAAUUUUUUUUUUCAACGGCAUAAUCUGUCAUCAUGCUUGUGUUUGGAGCUACUUUGGAAUGAUUAUUUUUGAAUUACAAUUUAUAAAUAUUUAGGUUUUAAAUUUUUUAUAAGAGUCUAAAUUUAUACACGUUCAGUAAAAGAUUCCCUAAAAGCUUUACAAUUCAAAAUUCUAUUAAAAGUAUAGAUGAAACUUUUAUACCUACUAAUUUUUUGGUCUAUUCUACAAGUUUAAAGAGGAGAUAUUUCUAGAGCUAGCAAAAAGAGCUACCUGAUUGUUUUCGCGUUAUGUCAAUUUUUUUAUUGUGUUAAAUUUAAUUUGACCCACAUAUGACCCAUUUAAUAAUCGUGUCAAAAUAUUGAAACUUGAACUUGAUACGGAAAAUAAAUGGAUGACCACACACACCCAUUUAAGAAUUAGGUAACUAUGUCACUUAAUACGACAUAACCCAAUAACUCGUUUAAUACAUAUUUAACAUAAUUUACAUUGUACAUUGUACACCCUUUUGUCAUAAAUUACACUAUUUUAUAUUUCUAAAUAAUAUUAUAUAUUGAUAUUAUAAAAAAAUAUCAAUAAUCUCAAAAUUUGUACACCUCCUAACUUUUAAAAAGAAAUAAAAAAACUAAUUAAUUAAUGUUUAUUUUAUUCAUUAAUAUAUCAUAAUCCUACAUGUAUUUUAUUUGUUAUUUUUUUUAUUUAAAAAGAUAGGAGGGUGGAUGAAACUCAAAUAAAUUUUUAGCCUAUCCUGAUCUUUCAAGUUUCUUAUUUAGGAGGCCAGUUAAAAAAAAUUACUUAGAAAGCUACUCCAUCAAUUUAACAAAUUUUAUUUAUUUAAUUAAUGGAGGUGUAGAAAAUAAAAGUAUCUGCAAGCACAUUGCAAUAGUGAAAGCAAUGUACCGGUGUUGCAACAUAACUGAAUCUUGAUAACCUAUCACAUAUUUUAAGUUUUAAUAUUGGUAGUUCACGGAUCGGUUUCUACUUCCACGAACAAUUAUUGAAGGAAAUGAGUUUUUUUUUUAAUGAAUAUUUAUAGACCCCGAUUAAAUAUUCGAAUAUAUAAUAAAAGAGAAACUGACAUAGAAAUGAGAAAGAUAUUUGGAGGAGGCCAAAAAAAAAAAAAAAAAUGCAACAGAGAAUUAGAUCAGCAACACAAGUAACUAAUUAAUUCAUCUAUACAUCAUAAUCCUAUUUGUAUCUUCUUCCUUCUACUAAUUUACAUAUAAAUUUGGUUAGAUAAAACAUAUUUUAAUACUCGGUCACAAGCGGUGGAUAUAGAAAAUUAAUUUAGAGGGGGUAAUACCAUAACGAAAAAUAAUGAUUCAUAACUAAAAUCAACCCCAACAUCAAAACUUAUUUACAAGAUUACGCCCAGUCAAAGGUAAUUUUUCCUAAAAACUAAUACGAAAUUAAAUAAAUUUAACUUUUAGUGGGUUCAAGUGCCCACGCAUUCUGAACGUAGAUCCACCCCUGGCCCCGACUGAAGCAUUUUUUACAAUAUGUACUCAGUUUAUCAACAGGAACAACCUUCCACUUUAAAUUAAAAUUUUCACUUAAAAAUGAUUAAUGUUAAUGAGGUUAGCAACAAAAAUGAGUUUAAUUAGAGAAUAUUAUAAGAGAAAUUAUAUUUUUUGACUUUUAAUAAAUUAAAAUAUUAUUAGUUGGUGGUGGUUUCACGUCAGAUUAAGACGUGACACUUUACUUAUGAGGUCGAGACAAUCGACUUAAACUAUUUCAAUGCAUUUGAAAUUUGCACUAAUGGCUAUCAUUCUUUGUCCAAAUUAAUACGAUAAUUAAUAACAUACAAUUGAAAUAAUUAAUACUAGCACUUGGCAAUAAAUAAAGCUCUUGUGCUUGAAUCGUCACACAUGAUCACUUCAUUCCUUUAUUUACUUUGCUACCACAAAUUUUGAGGCAUUAUAACUAAAUAAUAAUUGAAUAGGGCUUUGUGUUACUUGUUGUGCGCGCGGAAUGCGGAAUCAAGCACACCAAAUUAUUACAGAAAAAUAAAGGACACAAUUAUUUGACGUGGUUCGGUAAUUAAACUUACAUCCACGGAGGCAAGAAAGAAUAAUUGUUUAUUUAACAAUUAAUAGAGUACAAAUAUUUGAGUAACGAAUCUCACUUCUCAGAAACCUAAAUAUACCCAAUACUCUCACACUCUGCAGGAAAGAUAAAUUAUCCAAACACACUUCUCUCACUUCUCUAAAAAACUUAAAAAUUUAAAAACUUAACAAUUUUGGAAUGCUUUAGAAUAGAAGAAGUGCCAUCUUAUAGGAAAAAUAAUGAUACUAUUGCACCAACCUCUUUACUAUUCCACCUAACAUAAGCAAAUUGUCAAUAGUGUCCAUUUAACUUUUUAUUUUUUUUCUUCAAUUGUUUAGUAGCCCUUUAAAAAUCUGCGUGGUUUCUUGAAAUUUAGAUGCCACAUGCAUGACUUUUCAACACUAAUUACUACGAUAAUUAAUAUUAGCACUUGGCAAUAAAUAAAGCUCUUGUGCUUGAAUCGUCACACACGAUCACUUCAUUCCUUUAUUUGCUUUGCUACCACAGAUUUUGAGGCAUUAAAACUAAAUAAUAAUUGAAUAUGGCUUUGUGCGUCGAUGACGCCAGCAACAAGGGGACCACAAUUAUCACUUUUUAAGUUGCUUUUAAAAUUGAUUUUAAUAGUGAUUUGAUUAUUGUAGUGUUUUUAUUUUUAUAUUAAAAUUAAGUCGAUUUGUUAUAAUAAACUUAGUUGAGUUUAAUGGUAUUACUACAUAAAUUGAAUAGUCAUCAAAUAUUUUAAUGUUUUUAUGGCAAGUGUUGACGUGGCAUUUAUUUGUUGUAUGAUGGAUUUUAAAAUUUAUAAAAUUAUUUGUUAUUAAAUUACCCCCAGAUGCUGCAUCACCUGAAACUUAAUAAAGGGCAUGUAGCAUUGCCAUUACUCAACAUUCACUCUUAUGACUUUAUGACAUUAGAAUUAAAAUCUUUCGUACAUUUAAUUUGUUUGCUUCCAGAUUAAUCUUUAAAAAUAUUUUUUUCACAUUAUCAUGAAUGGACAAAACUCCAACGAAAAUAACUACGCAAGAGCAAUCUAUGCUAGUAUUAUAUGCCACGAUAUCUAUAACUUUGUCAGGUCUCAGGAUCGAUCAUUCUAAUUUUUACGCAGAACUUUUAAUCAAUGGACAAACACCUCACCGAGCUUGUCGGCAGCAUUACUACGAUGUAAAAUUGUACCGGAAUAUCUUGAAGUAUUAGUAGAAUAAUGAAGACUAUUUGGAGCAAUAAAAACAAAUAACGCAGAUAAAAAAAAUGGCUAAAAUUAUGUAAGUGAGCCCCAAAGUUUUUGCUAUUUCCAGGAAAUCCCAAAUUUGAAUGGACUAGAGGGAGGCACGUAAGAAAUACAUUUUCUUCCUAGACAAUGACAGCUAUGACAUCAAGCCACGUAUUGAAAUUAAGGUGUAAUUAUUCAGCCAAUGAGCCUUACACACCAAGAUGUAUAAAAGUCAAGAAAAUGAAAUUUUAUCCCAAUUAAAACACUUUCUGGCUGCAAUUGGCUGUUUCCAUUUGAAGUUAAAAAACAACAACGUUUCUUUCGUUUUGUGGGCGAUUCGAUUGAGCACGCGCCACGAGCUAGCUGGCUUCCAGUGCUUGCGUGUGACAAUAGAAGGCUAGUGAUUUCACUUUCGCUUUUUUUUUUUUUUCUUUUUUUUGGGGAAUCAAGAUAAAAGCCAAGAAAAUGAAAAUUGGGCUGUUUCCAUUUGAAGUUAAAAACAGUGUUUCUUUCGGGGCGUCAAUUUGAUAUUUGAAUGGACAGGCAAGUAAGAAAUACAAUUCCUUCAUAGACAAUGACAACGAGGACAUCAAGGCACAUCAUUAUAGUUUGUAGCCCAUCUACAUUUAAACGAUUAAUAAACAAGCUUAGGUGUGCCACUGCUAUUAUUAAUUAUCCCCUGAUCAUUAUAGUUUCUGAAACAGUAAAACAAAACGAAAUUGAAUACAUCAACGAGAUCGCAAUUAUCACUUGUUUAGUUGCGGUAUUUAACUUAAUUUUAAUCUAAUAUAUUUGUUAGUUAAACUUUUAAUAAUCAAAUAAUUUUGACUUAAAAAUAAAAUUAUAGAAAUUAUUAAUUAUUAAAAAUUCACACAUAGCUAUUGUUUUCUCUAUAUAUUGCAGUGUGUACGAUAUUGAGGGUUGAAGCCCAAAGCAUGCCCUAAAAUCCAGAUAAUAAUUAGAUCCGGGCCAAAUAUUCAUCAUUGUGUCGGCUGAUCAGUCGGUGGACAUCUCUAUUGAAAAAAUCUCUGACAUUUCUCUCGACAAACUUAUUACUAAAAAAAAAUCAGUGGUUUUGCCGUCUGAAUAAUGUAGAAAAAUUUGUCUGUGCAUUAAUCUAGAUGUUUGAGGUGAUUUAUACAUCUGUGAUAAAGAUUUAUAGGUUGACUUAUACGUCUGUGGUAUAGAUUUUAUGUAUUUCAUUACAAAAUGCUGGCCGUUAGAACCCUUUCUACAUCUAUUUAUAAGAUUAACGGGUGCCAGUUAUGCCAUUACAAAUUAUCCCCUCAUCAGAUAUUUCGUUAAAAUUCAUUCUGAAACACUAAAACUAAAUAAUCGAACAUGGCUUUGCGGGUCGAUGAUGCCAGAAGCAAUUCGACUGCAAUUAUCACUUGUUUAGUUUCUGUGCUUGCCGUGGUUUACUUGGCAUGGAAUGUGAAAAAAUCAAGGAAAGCAAAUGCUAAACUGCCACCAGGACCUCCCGGCUUGCCUGUAGUCGGAUACCUCCCAUUUCUCGGAACUACUGACUUGCACAAGAAAUUCACGGAAUUAUCCGGAGUUUACGGUCCGAUCUUCAAGCUCUGGCUCGGAAAUAAAUUAUGUGUAGUGGUGAGCUCACCUUCCCUAAUUAGACAAGUGGUUCGUGAUCAAGAUACAACAUUCGCGAACCGUGACCCACCGAAGGCUGCACUAGUGGUCUCCUAUGGUGGCAAUGAUAUUGCAUGGUCCAAUUACGGUCCCGAAUGGAGAAAGUUGCGCAAAUUUUUUGUGGGCAAGAUGAUGAGUAACGCAAGCCUUGAUGCUUGUUAUGCUCUAAGAAAACAAGAGGUUAAAAAUACUAUCAGGGAUUUGUAUAACAACGACAACAAAAUUGGCAAGCCCAUUGACAUUGGUGAAUUGUCGUUUUCAACAUUGGUAUGUGCUAUACAGAACAUGCUGUGGGGUGAAGCGCUUGAAAUAAGAGAGAAAGGGACCACUAAUCUUGGGGCUGGGCUAAAAUUUAAGCUGGCAGAACUCAUGGUGCUUGCGGGAACACCGAAUAUUUCGGAUGUCUUUCCAAUGCUUUCAUGGCUUGACAUACAAGGUAUAGAGAGGAGAGCAAAGAAGAUUUCACUCUGGCUUGAAAAUGUUAUAAAUUCUACUGUUGAACAGCAUAGAAACAAGGAGUCAACUGUUGAAGGUGAAGAAAGAGCGGGGAAAAAUUUUGAAGGAUCAAGGAACAAGAACUUCUUGCAGUUACUAUUGGAGCUUCAAGAAAAUGAUGACAGUGCUUCCUCAAUUAGCAUGAACCAAUUCAAGGCCGUACUCAUGGUAUGUUAAGUAACUAGCAACGAACAGUUAUACAAGCACAGUUGUAUAUUUGCAUGAGUGAUAUUUUCAACCUUUUUUUUUAAUUAGAAUUUUAUUGUCACCUUUUGGACAGGAUAUAAUUACGGCUGGAACCGACACCACAGCUACGAUGGUGGAAUGGACAAUGGCAGAGUUGAUGCAGCAUCCACAAGUAAUGAAGAACGUUCAGGAAGAAUUAGCUCAAGUUGUGGGCAUGGACAGUUGUGUUGAAGAAUUUCACCUGUCUAGAUUAAAGUAUUUAGAUGCUGUGGUGAAGGAAACAUUUCGUCUGCAUCCUGCAGUGCCUUUAUUAGUACCACGCAGAGCAAGCGAGAGUGGCAGCAUUGGUGGCUAUACCAUUCCCAAAGAUACAACUCUUAUGUUGAAUGUUUGGGCUAUCCACAGGGACCCUCACCUUUGGGAUAAUCCCUUAGAAUUUCGACCCGAGAGGUUUCUGAAUGUUGGUGUCGAGAGUAAGUUCGAUUACUCAGGUAACAAUUUUCAGUACUUGCCAUUUGGUUCUGGUAGAAGAAUGUGUGCUGGGAUUCCUCUAGCUGAGAGGAUGCUGAUGUUUGUUUUGGCUUCGUUAUUGCACUCAUUUGAGUGGGAAUUGCCAGCUGGCACAAAGCUAAACUUAUCUGAAAAAUUUGGGAUUGUCAUUAAGAAAAAAGAGCCUUUGGUUGCUAUUCCAACACCAAGACUAUCCAAUUCAGAGCUCUACCAUUAAGACAAAAUGGUUGUGAUGAUUUUGUUAAUUUUCCGAAGAUUUGUAUGUUAUUUAGUUCAAUCGUAAUAAAAUAUUUCAAAUAAGAGUCCUCCGUUGCUUUUUUUUUUUUUUUUUUUUCAACGGCAUAAUCUGUCGUCAUGCUUGUAUUUGGAGCUACUUUGGAAUAAUUAUGUUUGAAUUACAAUUUAUAAAUAUUUACGUUUUAAAUUUUUUAUAAGAGUCUAAAUUUAUACACGUUUAAUAUCCCGCUUCAUAGAUAUUUAACACAAUUUAUAUCAUACAUUGUAUACCCAUUUGUCAUAAAUUAUACUAUUUUGUAUCUCUAAAUAAUAUUACGUAUUGAUAUUAUAAUAUAUAUAUAUAUGUUUAUCAAAAGACUAUACCAUUCAAUAUAUAUUGAAAAGAGAACAAAGAAGAUUUUCUUAUGGUUUAAAAAUAUUAUGAAUUCUGCUGUUGAACAGUAUGGAAACAAGGUCUCUGUUGUUAAAGGUGAAGAAGCAACAGGGAACAAUAUUGAAGGAAGAAAUUUCACAUGUUUAGUUGCUGAAUUUGCCGCUGUAUUCUAUCGGUAGUAGAGUUUUUAUUUUUCUCUAUUAAUUUAAGUCAAUUUUCUAUAACAAAUUCGGUUGAGUUUAAUUGUGUUAUAAUAUAAAUUGAAUGAUAAUAGAAUUUUCAACAAAUAUUUCAAUAUUUCUAUCUCGAUUGUUGAAGUGCCAUUUAUUUGUUAUGCGAUCGAUUUUAAAAUUUAUAAAAUUAUUUGUUACUAAAUUGCAUCAUAUGCUAAAAUCACCUGAAACCUAAUUCCAUAACUAACCCUUUAUUUUUAGUUCUCAAGAAAUCUUGUAAGAACAAAAAUCUUUUAUAACAAAACUUUUACAACACAUUAAUUUGUAACUCAUUCCUGUGCGCGAAUCACUCUCAAUUUCCUUCAAUUGCUGUUUAACAAUCAUCUACUUAUCAAAAUUCAAGCAUAAUCUUUUUUUUUUAAUUUCUUCAUCAUUCUUUAAAAAAAAAAUCAGGAUAUGCUGUUAAAUUUUGAAAUAAAUAAAUUAACCAAAGUUGGUUGAUGUGAGUGGUUCAAUGAUGAGCAUAAUUUAUAUACAUAUUUUACCUUUAAUUAUAUAAUUAUUAGUUAUUUUUAUUAGUUAUUUUUAAUUAAUUGAAUUAUUUUAUUGCAUAGAGAAUUAAUUGGAGAUUGGGAAACAAAAAGUGCAUAAAGAAUAACAAGUUUGGGAAAGCAUCAAUCAAAGCCGUGACGCAAUUAAGAGUUUAUAGCAUAUGAAGCCAAGAGUAAUUUGCACUCAAAAAGAAUUUCAAUUAUUCAAGUGACCUGGACCUGCAUGGCAUUGUAAUGCAUGGAAAGCAACUUAAAGGGGCCCACACUUGGCUUUUACAAUUGGAAAAAGGAAUCCUAGUGCAAGCUUAAUUGAUGAGCACGUGAGUGAGAGCAAAGAAAAUUAAAAGGCCAAGCCUUUUGGCUUAAGGAAAUAACAAGGUCGGUGGGGCCCAUUUUAAAGAGUAAUAUAAAAGCAAGCUUUUGGCUUUUGGAGAGAGGAGCCGCGAGAGGAGGAAAACGCAAGACAAAGAGAAGAAAAUCUGCAGCAGUUCGGCUUCUAUGGUUGGUUUUAUCUCUUUUGUUACUCUUAAUUCAAAUAUGUCUAGUUAAUUUUCUUAUAUUAAAGUUAAGGAUGAAACCCUAUUCAAUGAAAUAAUUAUCUUUUUAUUUAUUUAAUUCCCAUAUAUGUUCUUUAAUGAUUAUGAUUUUUAUUUCACAUGAUUAAUUGGAUGUUAUUAAAAUUUUUUCAUCAAUUCUGUCAUGCAUUAUUGAUUGUUAGGAUUAAUAUUCAAUUAAAUCUAUACUUAGAUUUAUAACGUUUAUACAUGAUUAUCUUUGAUUCUAUGUCUUUCAUUAAAUUGUUUACAUGGAGUGCUUAGGAAAACUUUGACUCUUUGUUAUUCAAUAUGUUCACAUGGGAUACUUAGAUGUCAUACUAUUAAGCGGAAAAAGAACCUAUAUUAGAUUUAAUUAUUUGGGCUUAAUUGUUAUAUCCAUGAGAUGACACAAAUUGAUUUCGAGUUGUCACUCUAAAAUUAGAGAUUAAUGAAUAUUUAGAUAAUUACUAGUUGAAUAGCGGUGGAUUCUGAAACCUUGGUAAUUUCUAUCUUAUUGAAUUCUCCUUUACUUUAAUUGUUUUCUUAGUUUAAUUAAUUUAAUUUCUUUUAAAACUCAAUUUGCUUAACUAGGUUAGAAUUAAUAUUAAUUUUAGAUUUAAAUUAGACUUUUCAAUUUAUAACAAUCCAUGUGGGAUCGACCUCGUUACCACUACUUUAUUUCUAGAUUCGUGCACUUGCGAGUAUAUUAAAAUUUUCACAACAAGUUUUUGGCGCCGUUGCCGGGGAUUGUGCCAGAAAGUCAGUUUAAUCUAGGUUGAUUUGAUUCUUCCACUAGUUAUAAUUUAUGUUGUCUUUUAUUUUAUUAUUAUUUUUAAUUAACAAAAACACACAAAAAAACUUUUAUUUUUCUUUAAAUUCAUUGUUUGGUUGUUUGAUUUCUUUUAUUUUUUAAAUUUUGUUUAUUCUCAUUAUUGUUGGUUUAUUUUAUUUUAUUUUUUUCUUUCCUUGUCUAGUUAGUUUAUGAGUGUUUGGGAAUGUGAUUCAACAAAUCGUUUGGUAAAAGAGAGUCAAAAAUUGAUAGUAGUCAAGUUAGUUCUUCUGAAGUCAUGGAUGACCCAAAUAGAUUAUUGCCAAUACUUCCACCAGUGCAAGCAGAGAAAACCCUUAGAGAAUAUUUUUCACCACUUGCAGCCAACCAACCAUCUUGUAUUGUGUUGCCACAAACUACAGCAACACACUUUGAACUUUUUGAACUUAAGCCCUCAGUCAUCCAACUUUUACCAUCUUUCCAUGGGUUAGAGAGAGAGGAUCCAUAUUUGCACAUUAAGGAAUUUCUUGACAUAUGCUCUACAUUCCGUUUUCAAAAUUUUAAUGAUGAGUUAAUCAGGCUUCGUAUGUUAUCUUUCUCAUUAAAAGACAAAGCAAAAGCUUGGUUGAAUUCGCUUUCUGCUGGGUCUAUAACUACGUGGGAUGAAUUGAAUAAUAAGUUCCUCACCAAGUUUUUCCCUAUGUCUAAAACAAAUGCCCUUAGGAGAGAGAUAAGUGAUUUCUAUUAAAGAGAGGGUGAGCAAUUUUAUGAGUGUUGGGAAAGAUUCAAUGAUUUACUCCUCAAGUGCCCCCACCAUGGUUUUGAGAAAUGGAGACUUAUACAAUGCUUUUAUAACGGUUUAACCAUGUCGAAUCGUCAUAUGGUAGAGUCUAUGAAUGGUGGGAGAUUUUUGAACCUACAUGAAGGGGCUGCAUGGGAUUUCUUUAAUUCACUUUCUGAGAAUUCUCAACAGUGAGAUUUUUCAAGCCAAAGGGAAAAAUCAUCUCAAGUUUCUAGAAAGGGGUUAUAUGAAGUUAAGGAUGAUUUUGAUGUGAAAUCCACUCUAAUUACACUUUCUAGAAAAGUAGAUGCCUUAGCUCUGAACCAAUCAAUGAAUCAUCAUCCUAGUGUAGCUAAUGAGGUUUGUGCUAUUUGUUCUAACUUGUCUCAAACAGCACAAAACUGUCCAUCAUUACCAGUCUAUCCAGAGGCUUAUUCUGAGCAGGUACAUGCCUUACAAUCAUAUGAGAAAACCUCCAAUAAUACAUAUUCACUCACAUAUAAUCCUAAUUGGAGGAAUCACCCUAAUUUUUCUUGGAAACAAAAUCAAUCUUUGUCAAACCAAGGAGGACAACAAUUUAACAUGCCCAAUCAACAAUUUGUCCCUCCUAACCAAGUAUAUCCUCCUGCCCAACAACCUAUAUCUCAAUUUGUUACACCCCAACAAAGAAAACCUUCUUUAGAGGAUACACUUCAAAGUUUCAUUCAGUCAACCUAAUAAGCUUUUCAGUCAAACACUCAAGCUAUUCUAAAGCUUGAACAUCAAUUGGGUCAAUUAGCAACUACUGUAGCGGAGAAAGAAAAAAGAAAAUUCCCCAGUCAAUCAAUUCCUAAUCCUAAAGGAGUGCAUGAAGUUGGAUCGAGUUCAAGCCAUCAGCAUGAAGAAGCAAAAUCAAUUAUGACCUUGAGAAGAGGAAAAUUGUUUGACAACAAAGUGGAGGUUCAAACAAAGAAGACAUCUGAGCCUACUUCUUCAGAUCCAAUUACAUCACAAGAAUCAUCACCAAAUGAUCUUGAAGAGAGUGACCCGCUAGCUUACAUUCCCAAGGCUCAUUUUCCUCAAAGGUUAACAAAGGUAAAGAAAGGGACUUCAACAUGUGAGAUUAUAGAAAUCUUCAAGCAGGUAAGUAUAAACAUCCAUUUACUCGAUGCUAUUAAGCAAGUUCCUUCCUAUGCCAAGUUUUUGAAAGAUUUAUGCACUAAAAAGAGAAAUUUGCAUGUCACUAAAAAGGCGUUUUUAACUGAACAAACUAGCAAUUUACUUCAAUGUAAAAUGCCACCAAAAUUUAAGGAUCCUGGUUCUCCUACUAUUUCAUGUGUUAUAGGGAACCAAUGUUUUGAUAAAGCAUUAUUGGAUUUAGGUGCUAGUGUUAAUCUCUUACCUUAUUCCAUUUACAUGCAGCUUGGACUAGGUGAGUUAAAAUCAACUCCUAUUAUUUUGCAACUUGCUGAUAGGUCAAUGAAAAUACCUCGUGGUAUUAUAGAGGAUGUGUUGAUACAGAUUGACAAAUUUUAUUAUCCUGUUGAUUUUAUUGUUAUUGAUACUCAACAUGUACAUGAUCUUAAGAAACACACUCCACUUAUUCUUGGUCGUCCUUUCUUAGCUACAGCUGAUGCUCAUAUUAGUUGCAGGACUUGAAACAUGCAAUUGUCUUUUGGUAACAUGACCAUGGAAUUAAAUAUUUUUAAUGUUCCCAAGCAGGCACAAGAAGAUGAUGAAGUCGUUGAAGUAGAUAUGAUAGAAGCAUCAAUUGAUGACUCACUUAUUUCUAACCAUUGUGACAAUCCAUUAAUACCUUGCACAACUGACUCUGAUUUCUCUAUUGAUGUUGAUAGUGAUAUUGAAGAAGUUAAUGCUUUACUUGAUUCGACUCUUAUCAUAGAUCUAAUUAAGUGGAAAGAAAAGAUAAGAUUGAGCCACUUCCUCCUGAAGAGAAAAGUGCAACAUAGGUCACAUUCUGACAUAAAAAAGGUGGUAAGAUCUAAAACGCUUAAAUUAUUAGAUUUUUAUACUACUUUAGAUAACUCUCAGGAAAGCUUAGAACAGAAGAGAUCAAAGCAAUGCGAUAUUGAGGAGUUUCAUUACCAUCAUCCUUUUAUGGAUAAAAUGCUCCAGUGCUUAAUCAAUUAUGCUUUUUGGUAUUUUCUAUAUAAUUGCUUUAAUUUUCACCAAAUUCUUAUUGAUCCUGGUUGAUUUGUUGUUUACAUUAAUUAGUUAGUUAGUCGGAUUUUUUUAUUAUUAUUUAUAUUUCUUCUAACGUUUUCUUUUGAGUUGUCAUUCUUUUAAGUUUUCCUAGCUCAGUCAGGUGUGUUCUCUCCAACUUUCUCUUUUAUUAUUUAUGUUUUUAUUUUUCAUCUUUUUGCGUGCAUAUCUUUUAUUUAUGACACAUUGAGGACAAUGUUCCGAAUAAGUUUGGGGGUGGGAAUAAUGUUGCUUUGUUUGUUAAAAAAAACUAAAAAAAAAUUUCAAAAAUUCAAAAAAAAAUUGUGUUUUUUUUGUUUUUACGUGAAAAGCCAAUGAUAAAAACUUGAUUGACAAUGAAUAUGGUUUUUAGAAAGGGUUUAAUAUUGUCUUAAUUUAUACUUGAUUCUUAUGUUAGUUCCUCUUGAUUGAGAUUCUUUAAAAUAUAAGCACUAAUAUCAAUUCUUUCAUAAUUUUGACUUGAAAUUUGAGAUUGACGCAGCCUGAGUUGAGAAUUUUAGAUAGAGUAAAUGACUGUUUGUCUUUAUUCUUAUCUCCACAAUACAAAAUAGUAUACACAGGCACCAAAGUCAGAAAUAACUACCUAUAAUCCUUAAGAGUGAAGCUAUCCUUGAGUAAUUUAGGCCUAUGUACCACAAGUAUGUAGAGGAUAAUCUACCAUGAGAAGAAUGCUACCUUAAGGGGUAGAGUGAAAGCUCCUGACUAUGGUUAAAAAAAAAAGAAGAAGAAAAAGAGAAAGAAAAAAUCAAAUCAAGUGCAUGUGCUGAAAAAAAAAUCAAAAGAAAAUGCACAUAAAAGCCUGUGAAAAAAAAAUUGGAGAUUAAGAUGAUAAGAUUAGCUUGACCUACUCUUUUCUUUUUUUGAGGCGAAGGUUGUUGAUAUUGAAGAUUUUAGGAAUGAAUUUGAUUGAAUUGAUUUCACACACACACAACAAGAAUCGAAAGAGAGAUGGGAUUGAUUAUUGAAUUAAAGUUAGAACUUUGCCAAUAUUUGAAAUUUUGUUUGAGCUAUAUAAUUUAUGCAAUCUUUGAGGGUAUUUUCAUAUUUUAUUUAAAGUUUUUUUUUCUUUUUAUUUUAUUUUAUUUAUUUUUUAUUUUUUUAAAAUGAUGUUUGUGGGUGUCAUCACUGAAGCUCUCACGAGACUAUAACUCGUCCACUAGGGGUUUAAAGGCUUGUUGCAUACGCUAAAUGCAAUCGCGAUUACCUGCGAAAAUGGUUUAGUUAGGAUUUACUUUUUGUUUUGUUAUUUUUUUUUUUUUUUUUAGUUUUAGCUUUGCUCGAGGACUAGCAAAAUCUAAGUUUGGGGGUAUUUGAUGAGCAUAAUUUAUAUACAUAUUUUACCUUUAAUUAUAUAAUUAUUAGUUAUCUUUAUUAGUUAUUUUUAAUUAAUUGAAUUAUUUUAUUGCAUAGGGAAUUAAUUGGAGAUUGGGAAACAAAAAGUGCAUAAAGAAUAACAAGUUUGGGAAAGCAUCAAUCAAAGCCAUGACACAAUUAAGAGUUUAUAGCAUAUGAAGGCAAGAGUAAUUUGCACUAAAAAAGAAUUUCAAUUAUUCAAGUGAUCUGGACGUGCAUAGUAUUGUAAUGCAUGGAAAGCAACUUAAAGGGGCCCACACUUGGCUUUUACAAUUGGAAAAAGGAAUCCUAGUGCAAGCUUAAUUGGUGAGCACGUGAGUGAGAGCAAAGAAAAUUAAAAGGCCAAGCCUUUUGGCUUAAGGAAAUAACAAGGUCGGUGGGGCCCAUUUUAAAGAGUAAUAUAAAAGCAAGCUUUUGGCUUUUGGAGAGAGAAGCCGCCAGAGGAGGAAAACGCGAGACAAAGAGAAGAAAAUAUGCCGCAGUUCGACUUCUAUGGUUGGUUUUAUCUCUUUUGUUACUCUUAAUUCAAGUAUGUCUAGCUAAUUUUCUUAUAUUGAAGUUAAGGAUGAAAUCAUAUUCAAUGAAAUAAUUAUCUUUUUAUUUAUUUAAUUCCCAUAUAUGUUCUUUAAUGAUUAUGAUUUUUAUUUCACAUGAUUAAUUGGAUGUUAUUAAAAUCUUUUCAUCAAUUCUGUCAUAUAUUAUUGAUUGUUAUGAUUAAUAUUAAAUUAAAUCUAUACUUGGAUUUAUAAAGUUUAUACAUGAUUAUCUUUGAUUCUAUGUCUUUCAUUAAAUUGUUUACAUGGAGUGCCUAGGAAAACUUUGACUCUUUGUUAUUCAAUAUGUUCACAUGGGAUACUUAGAUGUCGUACUAUUAAGCGGAAAAAGAACCUAUAUUAGAUUUAAUUAUUUGGGCUUAAUUGUUAUAUCCAUGAGAUGACAUAGAUUGAUUUCGAGUUGUCACUCUAAAAUUGGGGAUUAAUGAAUAUUUAGAUAAUUACUAGUUGAAUAGUGGUGGAUUCUGAAACCUUGGUAAUUUCUAUCUUAUUGAAUUCUCCUUUACUUUAAUUGUUUUCUUAGUUUAAUUAGUUUAAUUUCUCUUAAAACUCAAUUCGCUCAACUAGGUUAGAAUUAAUAUUAAUUUUAGAUUUAAAUUAGACUUUUCAAUUUAUAACAAUCCCUGUGGGAUCGACCUCGUUACCACUACUCUAUUUCUAGAUUCGUGCGCUUGCGAGUAUAUUAAAAUUUUCACAACAUUCGGCACUCUCACUCCUUAAGAGAGGUCAGGGGUUCAAGCCUCGCUCUCGUAUGGAGUCACCACUUUGACCAGCACUUUACCCCUUACAGACCGACCCGGUGCGAGCAUGAAUUAGUCUGGGUUGUGGUACGGGCUUAAAGGUGCCUCCCACAAUUGAGACCCACUCAGGACCACCUCGUGGUUCGGACAAAAAAAAAAUUGAAAUAAAUUAUCUCAAAAUAAUUACUAACCAGAAAAAACAAAGGGGUUUAACUAGGUUAUGCAUACCUUUGAAAAUUAUAUGUUGAUCGAUAAGCAUGAUGAUCACGAUUGAGGAGUUUAAUUAAAAUUUAUAAGAUUUUAAAAUUAAUCAGGGUUAAAUUCUAAAUUUUAGAAAGAGAGGUUUUGUGAGAAUGCUGAAAGGGUGUUAAUAGUUCCACUCUUUUUUAAAAAAACCAUAGUCAUCAUUUUUCCCGAUUUCUUCUUCCCAUCUCCAUCUUAUUUAGAAAUUUCCCAGAGCCUUUGUUUCCCACCAUUCAUUUUUCUUCUUUCUAAUUUAAGAUUAUAGUAUUAUAAAAAUAAUUACUCACAUUUUAUCAAACACCUCCAUUAUACCAAGGCCUUGUUUUAGUAGUAGGCUUUUAUUAUCUCAAUAAAAUUGAAAAAACAAAGCUCAAUAAUAUUGGAAAAAAAACCUACCCAUAUUUGUAACUUUAAUUUAUUAUUCUCCAUAGACCUACUUUUUAGCUUUGAAUUUUGUUGGAGCCAUAUAUAAACAGAAUAUGUUGAAAUCAGCACAAAAAAAAAACUAAUUAUAUAAUUUUUGUUCCCAAGGACACGACUGUGUGAUUUUUAAGAAGUUUUGUUUGGCUGGCCACUUAGGUUUAAAUCUUGGUGGAGAUUAGGGGUUAAGAAAUAAAUUUGGACUUUGCACACCCCUUUAACUUUUAAAAAGAAUGAAAAAAACUAAUUAAUUAAUCUUUAUUUUAUUUAUUAAAUGUCAUAAUCAUAUGCAUAUUUUAUUUGUUAUCUUUCUAUUUAAAAGAUAGGAGGGCAAAUAAAACUGAAAUAAAUGUUUAUCCCUAUCUCCAUCUUUCAAGUUCCAUAGUUAGGUGACCAGCUAAAGAAAAUUAAUUGAAAGUUACUCCAUCAAAUUAAAAAAAAUUAUUUAUUUAAUUUGUGGAGAUGUAGAAAAUCAAACCCCAUACCUUUUCGCAUGCAAAAGUGUCAACCUGGUCUAGCUAUGUUGCAACAGUAAACAUAUUUUAAUACAUGACUAUCAUCUUUUAUCCUAAAUACUACUAUAACUAUGGGUUCAGUUAUGCUGUAACUGUGGUAUGGUACCACAGUUGUUUUCAACCAUUAAAUUCAACUUAUAUAACUAUGCAACUGUAGAUCUAACGGCUGAAAGCAACUAUGGUACCAUACCACAGUUGCAACAUAGUUUUGCCCCUAUAACUCAUAACAUUCAAUUGAAAUAAUAAAUGUUAACACUUGGCUAUAAAUAAAGGUUUUGUACUUGAAUCUUCAUGCAUGACCUUCAUUCCUUUAUUGACUUUGCUAACACAGAUUUUGAGGCAUUAAAACUAAAUAAUAAUUGACUUUGUGGGCCGAGGAUGCCAGCAACAAGGAGACCACAAUUAUCACUAGUUAAGUUACUCUAAUUGCCGUUGUCUUAUAUUCAUAAAAUAUUAGUAAUAAGAUUAUUGUAGAAUUUUUUUAUAUUAAAAUUAAGUCAAUUUGUUAUAACAAAUUUAGUUGAGUUUAAUCGUGUUACUACAUACAUUGAAUAAUAAUAGAAUUCUCGACAAAUAUUUCAAUAUUUUUAUCCCAAGCGUUGGAGUGGCAUUUAUUUGUUAGACAAUCGAUUUUAGAACUUAUAAAAUUAUUCGUUACUGAAUUGCACCAUAUGCUGCAUGACCUGAAACUUAAUAAACGGAACGUAGCGUUGGCAACAUUCACUGUCAUGACUUUGUGACAUUAGAAUUAAAUUUUUUUGCACAUUUAAUUUGUUUACUUCCAAAUUAAUAUUUAACAAAAUAUUUUUUCACAUUAUCAAUGGACAAAACUCCAACGAAAAUAACUAUACAAUAUAUGCUAGUAUUGUAUGCCAUAUCAUCUGUAAUUUUGUCAGGAUCGAUCAUUUUAAUUUUUAAGCAAAACUUUUUAUCAAUGGACAAACACCUCACACAGCUUGUCAGAGGCAUUAUUAUGAUGGAAAACUGAUAAACAGUGAACUCGAAACUCAAUUACUACAAGUCGUUUAGAGGAUUCAGUCUUGGAUGACUUGUCACUUGUGGAAUUCUUGAAGCCAGAACCGACAUAAUCUCAGUCGUCAUUCUGUCUUAAGUAAUACACAUGGUUUGCAUGUGUGUUGAAGCUGACUCUUUGCUUGGAUCAAGAAACGACGUCUUUGAGUGCCGUUUCUUAAACACACUUUAAAUCAGCUUGUGUCAAGCACGUGAGGUAGAGCUUUUUGAAUAGAUUUGGCGGGAAUGGUAGUUAGUGUAACAACCCAGAAAUAGAGGUUAAAAGGUGAAGGCUUUGUCAUCAUCUACACAUGAUUUGGGAAACAUUGAGAGUAGAGAAAAAGAUAGAGAGAGAAAGGGGUUAACAAGUUCUUGUUCUCUGUAAAUCGAUUUAUAUUCUUGUAAAGUUUGUGAUCUCAAUUAGUGAAAGACUGUUGCUUUGUUUCCAGUGGAUGUAGGCACCACUUCUUGGUGCUGAACCACUUAUACUUGGUGUCAUAUUGUUUCUUUAAUGCUUUGAUUCUUGCGUGUGAUUGUUGCUGGAUAAUCUGUGCUGUUAAUUCUCAAACCAUUGAUACAGAAUUAAUGUCUUGGGGAGAAUUUGGUUAGUCUUAUCAAAGCCGAAUUCACAACAAAUUGGUAUCAGAGCCCUCUUUUCUGUAUCAAGGUUCAAGAAAUGACUAACAAGGUGGAUCUUGAGAAGUUCAAUGGUCAGAAUGAUUUCAAUAUGUGGAGGAUCAAGAUGGAAGCAUUGUUAAUCACACAAGGUCUGGGAGAUGCCAUUGAUCCAGUCAUUAAGAGUGAAAAUGCAGAAGCCUAUUCUUCAAGAACUCCAGAACAGAUGGCUAAGAUUGAAAAAAAGGCAAGAAGCACCAUCAUCCUCAGUCUUGGUGACUUAGUGAUAAGGGAAGUUGCCAAGAAAAAGACUGUUGCUAGGCUCUGGGCAAAACUGGAACAAUUGUAUAUGACAAAGUCCUUAGCAAACAGGCUAUACAUCAAGAAAAAGAUGUUCUCACUGAGGAUGAUUGAAGGAGCAUCACUUGAUGAACACAUAGAUGAGUUUAAUAAAGUUUGUGAUGAACUGGAAACAAUUGAUGAAGGACUGAGUGAUGAGAGCAAGGCUUUGCUGUUAAUCAGUUCUUCACCAAAAUCAUAUGAACAUUUUGUGGAUGCCUUGUUAUAUGGAAGGCAAUCACUCUCCUUGGAAGAGGUUAAAUCUACUCUUGGUACCAAGAAGUUAAAAGAAAAACAAGAUAACUCAGAGAGUGAAUCAAGUGAAGGGCUGAUGGCAAGGGGCAGAUCUGAAAAAAAGGAGUACAAAGGAAAAAAACAAGGGAGAUCAAAGUCAAAGCAGAAACAUUUGAAGUGUUUUCACUGCCACAAAGAAGGGCAUUUCAAGAGGGAUUGCCCUGAGAGAAAAACAAAGCAAAAGGAAUCAAAAGACAAAUCUGGAAAUACAGCAAUAGCCACAGAAGAAACCAGUUUUGAGAUAGCUGAAGUCCUCAUUGCCACAAAAGAAAAAAACUCAAGGUCAGUGGGUACUAGACUCUGGAUGUACUUUUCAUAUGAGUCCAAAUAGAAAUUACUUUACUACAUAUCAGUCCUGUGAUGGGGGUAUGGUGCUGAUGGGAAAUAAUUCAGUUUGUAAAGCAGUUGGGAUUGGGACUGUAAGCCUUAAGAUGUAUGAUGGCAUGGUUAGAGAACUAACUCAGUUUAGGCAUGUUCCUGAGCUUAAAAGGAACCUAAUAUCUAUUGGCAUGCUUGAUCAAACUGGAUGUGUCAAUAAGGCUGAAAAUGGGUCAUUGAAAGUUAUCAGAGGCUCAAUAGUCAUAAUGAAAAGUUCCAAGCAAAAUGGUUUGUAUGUGUUGAAUGGACAUACAACUGUUGGAGAGGCAAGUGUCACUGAGAAGAGUGAAGACAAAGCAAGACUAUGGCACUUGAGGUUGGGGCAUAUGAGUGAAAGGGGAUUGAAGGAGCUUCAAAAGAAUGGGGUGUUUGGAAGUGACAAGCUAAGUUCUUUGGGGUUCUGUGAAGACUGUAUCCUAGGGAAGGCUUCCAAUCUCAAGUUUGAAUCUGCAGUUCAUUCUACCAAAGAGAAGCUUGCAUAUAUACACUCUGAUAUGUGGGGGCCUGCACAGGUAAAUUCUCUUGGUGGCUUUAAGUAUUUCUUAUCCUUAAUAGAUGACUAUUCAAGGAUGGUUUGGGUGUAUGUACUCAAAACCAAAGAUGAAGCUUUGGAAAAGUUUUAGAGGUGGAAAAUUCUGGUAGAAACACAGACAAGUUUGAAAGUAAAAGCUCUAAGAACAGAUAAUGAAUUGGAAUUCUGCAACAAAGAGUUUGGAGACUUUUGUAAAAGACAUGAGAUUAUGAGGCACAAAACAGUCAUACACACACCUCAGCAAAAUGGUUUUGCUGAGAGAAUGAACAGAACCUUAAUGGACAAGGUGAGGUGUAUACUGCUAUACUCAAAGCUGCCUAAGUCACUCUGGGCAGAGGCCUUAAACACAGCAUGUUACUUGGUAAAUAUAAGUCCAUCUACAGCAAUAGAAUGCAAAACACCUAUCGAGCUAUGGUCUGGAAGGGUUGCAGAUUACUUUAAACUGAGAAUCUUUGGAUGUGUUGCUUAUGCAUAUGUCAAACAAGGCAAAUUGGAGCCAAGAGCUUUAAGGUGUAGAUUUCUAGGAUACCCUGAUGGAGUUAAAGGCUAUAGGCUAUGGUGCAUUGAUUUGAAGCCACCAAAAUGCAUUAUCAGCAGGGAUGUAACUUUCAAUGAGUCAGAAAUCUUGAACAAAUCCAAAACCACUUAAUCCAAAGAUCAUAUAUCAGAAACAAGACCUGGGAGUGUUCAGUUUGAGGUGGAGUCCUAUGAACAAGAUAGGACUGAAUCAGAAACUGAAGGAGAUUCAGGAAGGGUUACUGAUGGAUUUGAUGUUGUUCAGGAGUCAGAGCCAGCUGAGAAUGAAGAUAAUUCUUAUCAGUUGGUCAGGGAUAGAAAGAAGAGAGCUGUAAGACCACCUAAGAGGUAUACAAUAGCAGAUUUCAUAGCUUAUACAUUAACAGUUGCACAAGAGGUAAAUGAGGAAGAGCUAAGAACCUAUAAAGAAGCUAUAAACAGCAUGGAUAAGAUGAAAUGGAAGGAGGCUAUGGAUGAGGAAAUUGAAUCACUAAUGAAAAAUGGAACUUGGAAGCUGAUAGUUAGACUAGAAAAAAGGAAGACUGUUAGCUGCAAAUGGAUCUUCAAAGUUAAGGAAGGUAUAUCUGAUGCUGAACCUAGUAGGUUUAAAGCUAGGCUGGUAGCAAGAGGCUUCACACAAAGAGAGGGGAUUGAUUUCCAUGAAAUCUUCUCUCUAGUUGUGAAACAUGCCUCCAUCAGAGUCAUCUUAGCUUUAGUUGCCAUUCAAGACAUGUACCUGGAGCAUAUGGAUGUUAAAACAGCCUUCCUGCAUGGUGAAUUACAAGAAGAAAUUGUAAUGGAACAGCCUGGGGGGUAUGUGGUGUCUAGUAAGGAAAAUCAUGUGUGCUUACUAAAGAAAUAUUUAUAUGGAUUAAAGCAGUCUCCUAGGCAAUGGUACUUGAAGUUUGAUAGUUUUAUGACAAAACAUGCCUACAAGAAAUGCAAUUAUGAUUGUUGCGUGUACUUUAGGGACAUUGGUGAUGGAAAGAUGAUUUAUCUUAUGCUGUAUAUGGAUGACAUGCUUAUAGCAUGUCACAGCAUAGAUGAAAUCAGUCAUUUAAAGAAUCUCUUGAGCAGUGAAUUCGAUAUGAAAGAUCUUGGAGCUGUAAGGAAGAUCUUAGGUAUGGAAAUUAUCAGAGACAGGAGAAGGAAGCUUAUGUUUUUAACCCAACAGAGCUAUGUUAAGAAGGUGUUGCUUAGAUUUGGGAUGCAUGAAUCCAAGUCUGUUCAAACACCUUUGGCAAAUCACUUCAAGCUGUCUGCUGCACAUUGUCCACAAACUGAUGCAGAGCAAGGAAAAAUGGCAAGGAUACCUUACUCCAGUGCAGUUGGGAGCCUCAUGUAUGCCAUGGUUCUCACUAGACAUGAUAUCUCACAUGCUGUGAGUAUAGUGAGUAGAUUCAUGGCAAAUCCAGGUUAUGAGCAUUGGAGGGCAGUCCAGUGGAUAAUGAGGUACCUGAAAGGCACUAUGGAGUUUGGUCUGCUAUAUGGAGGGUUAAAACAGGAAGGGCACAAGCUGGUGGGGUAUGUUGACUCAGACUUCGCUGGAGAUCUUGAUAAAAGGAGGUCUCAGACAUGUUUUAUAUUCACUUUGGGAGGCUGCACUGUGAACUGGAAAGCUACUCUGCAAAGUGUGGUAGCUUUGUCCACAACUGAAGCCGAAUAUACAGCAGCUGCAGAAGCUUUUAAGGAAGUCAUCUGGUUAAAAGGAAUGGUCUCAGAGUUAGGAGCAAAACAAGAAACAGUUGAAGUAUACUGUGAUAGCCAGAGUGCAAUACAUUUGAGUAAAAACCAGACCCAUCAUGAAGGAACAAAACAUAUUGAUGUAAAGCUUCAUUUUGUAAGACUUGAAGUUUCAAAGGGAACUGUGAAGAUGCUCGAGGUUCACACUGAUCAAAAUCCAACCGAUAUGUUGACUAAAGCUGUGCCUUCUGCCAAGCUCAACUUCUGUUUGAGCUUAGCAGGAAUUUGCAGUUUCUGAUCAGCUGCAAAAGAAAGGGAAUAAAGUAUACAGGAGUAGCUAGAGUUCAGAGUUCACACUGAUUAAAAGGUGCAGGCUUUGUCAUCGUCUACACAUGAUUUGGGAAACACAGAGAGUAGAGAAAAAGAUAGAGAGAGAAAGGGGUUAACAAGUUCUUGUUCUCUGUAAAUCGAUUUCUAUUCUUGUAAAGUUUGUGAUCUCAAUUAGUGAAAGAUUGUUGCUUUGUUUCCAGUGGAUGUAGGCACCACUUCUUGGUGCUGAACCACUUAUGCUUGGUGUCAUAUUGUUUCUUUAAUGCUUUGAUUCUUGCGUGUGAUUGUUGCUGGAUAAUCUGUGCUGUUAAUUCUCAAACCAUUGAUACAGAAUUAAUGUCUUGGGGAGAAUUUGGUUAGUCUUAUCAAAGCCGAAUUCACAACAAAAACUGUAAUGGUAUAUCUUGAAUUAUUGGUAGAAUAGUUCUUUGGAGCAAUAAAAACAGAUAAGACAGAUGAGAAAAUUGUCAAUACCCCACCGCAAAAGCAAAAGAAAACAAGGAAAGGAGACAAAAGAGGAAGAAGAAAAAGAAAAAAGAACGAAGAAAAAAAUGGUGCCGUGCGGUAUAGGCAAGAAGAAAAAAUAAUAAAAAAUAAUAAAAUAAUAGUGCACAACAAUCAUUUGAUUGCUAUAAAUAAAAGGCGUUUCCCUCAUUUUAUUCAUCGAAUUCUUCAGUUCCUUUCAAGCGAUUUAAGAGUCUAGUGAUUUGAGAGUUUGGGUGUAGUAUGAUUUUGGGUAGUGAGCUAAAAUACUACAAUACUUGUAACUCAUUUUUAUUAGUAAAAUAUUUUCCUUCUGACUUCGCCCGUGGACGUAUGCUAAAAGCCGAAUCACGUAAUUUCUGGUGUCCCUAUGUGAUUAUGUGUCUCAUUAUUUCUUAAUUUCACUUUAGUUGCGUGUCUGCGACACCCCUCAAUUUAUUAACAAAAAAUGGCCAAAAUUAUAUAAGUGACCCAAAUUUUUUUGUUAUUUCCAAGAAAUCCCCAAUCUGAAUGGGCUAGACCAGAGGGAGGCAAGUUAGAAAUACAUUUCCUUCAUAGACAAUAACAGUGAUGAGUCGAUGACAUCAAGCCACGUCGGUAUCAAUAUUGAAUUAAAGGUGCAAUUAUUCAGCCAAUGAACCUUACACAUCAAGAUAAAAGUCAAGAAAAUGAAAAUUUAUCCCAAUUAAAACACUUUCUGGCUGCAUUUAGUUGUUUCCAUUAGAAGUUAAAAACAACGUUUCUUUCGUUUUGUGGGCAACUCAACUGAGUUAGCUGGCUUCUAGUGCUAGUAUGUGAAAAUAGAAGGCUAAUGAUUUAUUUAUUAUCUUUUGACAAAAUUAUUAAAGAUAUAAUAGAUUUUCUAUGAUACAAGUGAAAAAUCACAUCAACAUAGCUUUCAAUCUACAGCAGCUAGCGUUUACCAAACACUUUGUUGUAGCUUUUAAGCUAUAGCUGCCCAACCUCAAUCUCAAACGCACCCUUAAUAGGUUGAUUGAAUUUGUGAGAUAUGGAUUCCACAUAUCUCAUGACCUAGUAAUUAUACAAGUGGUUCGUGAUCAAGACACAACAUUUGCUUCCGGCCUAGUGACCCAGCAAUCGCUGCACUGGUCGCCACCUAUGGUGCCGACGAUAUUGCAUGGUCCAAUUGUGGCCUUGAAUGGAAAAAGUUGAGCAAAUUAUUUGUGGACACGAUGAUAAGUAACGCAAGCCUUGAUGCUAGUUAUGGUCAAAGAAAACAAGAGGUUAAGAAUACUAUCAGAGAUAUUCAUAACAACAAAAAGGAAAAAAAAAAGGCAUUUGCAAGCCCAUUGAUAUUGGUGAAUUGUCGAUUUCAACUUUGGCAUGUGUAAUCCAGAACCUGCGCGCUGUGGUAUGGCGCUGGCACGCUUGCAUUAACGAGGGGACAAGUCUUGGGGCUGAGCUAACAUUUAAGCUCGCAGAACUCAUGGUGCUAAUGGGAACACCAAAUAUUUUUUUGACAUAUUUUGGUGCUUUCAUGGUUUAAUUCAAGGUAUAGAAAGGAGUGUUGAGAAUGUCAAAUAAAACGGCAUUGAAUGGAAGUUGUCAAAGACACGAUCCGCACCGAACGGCAACGACACGGUUGCUAAAAAUCCUUCCAUAAUAUGCAUAUCUAAUUUUUUAAAAAGUGUAACCUCUGCAUUUAUAAAUAUACUCAAUGUAUAAUGUUUUACUUAAGAAAUGAAAAACUUGUUUGUUCAAGGAGAAUAAAGAAAAUUUUUCUAUGAUUUUUUUAUGGUUUGAACAAAGAAGGUUUUAAUGAGUAUUAUAGACCUCGAUUGAAUGUUCGAAUGUAUAAUAAAAGAGAAACUGUCACAUAAAUGACAAAGAUACUUGGAAAAAAAAAAAGGGCAGCAAUAGAGAAUUAGAUUCGACUGCACAAAUAACUAGUUAAUUCAUCAAUACAUCAUUUUCUUGCUAGAAAAUGACAAUUAUGACAGCAAGCCACGAUAGUGUCAAUAUUGAAAUUGAUUUGCAAUUAUUCAGCCAAUGUGCCUUACACGUCAAGAUAAAAGUCAAGAAAAUGAAAGUUAAUAUCAAUUAAAACACUUCCUGGGCCGCAUUUAGCUCCAGUUUUUGUGGUAGGAAAACAAAGUUUUGUUUUAAAUUCACAUGGUGUGCACUUCCUAUAUAAAUCUAGAGUUGUGUCCCACGUUGAACAAUAAAGGAAAGUCACCUAAAUAUACAUGUAGGAUAAGUUACUUUAUUUAGUAAGUUUGUAUUUUCUUCUUUCUUCUAGUUUACAUAUAAAUUUGAUUAGAUAACUUAACACAUAUUUUAAUACUUGAUCAGAAGCCCUACGUACAGGUGGAUCUAGAAACUUGAUUUCUAAGAGUAAUACUAUAAUAAAAAAAUAAUGAUUCAUAGAACCAAUAUCAAAAUUUGUUUACAAGAUUACCCCCACUCAAAGGUAAUUUUCAUAGAAAUUAAUAGGAAAUUUAAUUGUUAGUGGGGUCAAAUUGCCCCCACACUCUGAAUGUAGAUCCACGCCCGACCCUGAGUCAAGUAUAUUUUGCCACAUAUACUCUGAAUGUCGGCAGGAAAAAUCUUCCACUUUAGUUUAAAAUUUUCACUUAAAAUUUAUUUACGUUAAUAAAGUUGGUAAAGGAAAUGAGUUUAAUUAAAGAAUAUUAUAGGAGAAAUUCUAUUGUUUGGCUUUUAAUAAAUUAAUUAAUAGGUUUAAAAAGAUUAAUAUACAUCAAAAUAUUAUUAGUUGGUGGUGGUUCCACAUCGGACUAAGACGUGGCACCUUACUUGUGAGAUUAAGACAAUCAGGCUUAGACUAUUUAAAUAUGUUUGAAGCUUAGAUGGCACCGCUUCAAUUUGCAUUAAUGAAUGUCAUUCUUUACCCUAAUUACUACGUAAUUGAUAACAUGCAAUUGAAAUAACUAAUAUUAGCACUUGGCUAUAAAUGAACUAAAGGCCGUGCAAUUGAAUCUUUACUUGAUCACUUCAUUCCUUUAUUUUGCUAACACAGAUUUUGAGAUAUUAAAACGAAAUAAUAAUUGAAUCUGGCUUUGUGGGUCGAUGAUGCCAGCAACAACGAGACCACAAUUAUCACUUGUUUAUUUGCUGUAUUUGACGUUGUUUCAUAUUGGUAGUAAUAACUAAUAAGGUCGUUGUAGAGUUUUUAAUCUUUUUUUUUAUAUUAAUCACGAGGUAUCCUGGGGAGGGCCCCAACUGUGGGAGGCACCUUUAAGCUCGUACCACAACCCAGACUAGAAGUCCCCGCUCGAACCGGGAGGCACAGUUUUUAAUCUUUUUUAUAUUAAAGUUAAGUCAAUUUGUUAUAAAUAAAUAAAAAAUUGGUUGAGUUUAAUUAUAUUGCUAUGUACAUUAAAUAAUUAUAAUAUUCUCGAGGGAAAAAGACACCUAGAACCUCAAGGUUUGGGGAAAUGGUCACAAAAACUCCUAAGUUUUAAAAAAGGAACACUAAAAUCUUUUUUUACCCAUAAUACCCUUUGACUAUAGUAAUUAGAAAAUUGACUUUAAAGGUUUUUAAAUAAUACAAAUUUAAUAUAAAUCAUAUAAUCUAUCUAGUACACUAAUAAUAUUAAAUUAUUUUUUAUAUUUAAAAUAAUGUUAAAAAAUUUAAAUUAUUAUAUUUAUUUUAAUAAUAUAUUUAUAAAAUUAUAAAGAUUUUAAAUAAAUCUUUGGAUUGAAUAUAUUUUACAAUUAAAAGUCUUCCUAUUAAUAAUAUUAAAAUUAAAUUUUAAGUAAUAUAUAUUCAAAAUAUUUUUAAUUUAAUUUUAUUUAUUUUAAUAUUAUGUUUCUAUCUAUUAUUAAAAAUUACUUUAAUAUAAUAAAAUAGGUCUAAUAGAUUGAAAAAUAUGAAAAUAUUUUUAAAAUUUUAAAUUAUUUUGAAAUGUAUAUAUUAUUACAUUUAUUUCAAUGUCAUAUUUCCAUUUAUUAUAAAAUUUUGGGGUUAUUUUUUUGGGAAUUUAUAGAGUCAAAGAGCAUUAUGGUUAAAAAAGAGUCUUGGUGUCCCUUAUUGAAAACUUUAGAGUUUUUGUGACCAUUUUCCUAAAUCUUGGGGGUGUUGAAGUGGCACUUAUUGUAAGAUUGAUUUUAAAAUAUGUAAAAUUAAUUUUAUUACAUUACCAUAUGCUACAUCACCUGAAACUUAAUAAAUGGAACGUAGCAUUACUCCACGUUCACCGUUAUGACCUUAUGACAUUAGAAUUAAAAUCUUUCGUACGUUUAAAUUGUUUACUUCCAAAUUAAUCUUUCGUAAAUAUUUUGUACAGAUCUUAUCGGAGUUAGCGUGUUCAUUACAGUGUUUCUUUUCUUUUAUCCUUUCUUUUGAAACGUAUUUCCUGUGGACAAGGAAAGCAAAUAAUACCCUGCCACCAGGACCUCGCGGCUUGCCUGUAAUCGGAUACCUUCCAUUUCUCGGAAUUACUGACUUACACAAGACAUUCACGGAAUUAGCUGGUCUAUAUGGCCCGAUCUUCAAACUCUGGCUUGGCAACAAAUUGUGUGUAGUGGUUAGCUCGCCUUCAACUAGUUCUAUAAGAAUAUCCCUUUUAAGGGAUUCUCUCUCUGCAAAAUUUUUUUAUCUUCUGGUGCAUAAUAAAAACUUAUGCCACUUCAUUAACCACAGAUAUCUUUUGAGGAAACGAUGUUUCGUUUUCUUUUGUUUUUUCCUUCCUAAUCCUCGCAUAUCGUGUGAAGGCUAAUAUAUCCAAGAAUCUAAAUCUCUGUAAAUCUUUUUCUAUCCAAAUCUACAUAAUAAUUUAAUCCAUGCACAAUAUCUAUAAUUAUAUCGGCUGUCGGCUGAUUUCGUGGAGGGGGCGGCAGUUCAAAUUUUUUACGUGCAUGUUGGAUGGACGUCUCUAUUAAAGGAGAGCCACCACUUGCAUGGUAAUUUUUUUAAAUAAAUAUAUACAUUUCAAAAUAUUAUUUCAUUGUUGUAUAGUUAACAUGUCACCUUAGAUGUAUUUUAGAACUUCUCCUAUUAAAGAUAAUCUCAUGCAGUGAUACUUCUCGUGAUCUAAUCAUUAGUAGAAUCUAUAAUUUCGCUACUGUAAUAAAAUCUGUCCCUACCCUAUAUGAAUGUAGAUAUUUGACGCGAUUUGUAAUUGCUUCCGACAGGAAAACAGCAAUAGUUUAAUUGAAAUUUGUGGUAUGGAUUCCACGAAUCUUAUGACAGAAUACUGACCACUCCAACCCUAUCCACAUUUACACGAUUAAAACACAAGCUUAGAUGUGACAAUGCAUUUGUCACUUUUGUUCAAAUUCAUCCUGAAACACUAUACACUAAAUAAUCGAAUAUGGCUUCGUGGGUCGAUGAUGCUAGCAGCAACGAGACUGCAAUUAUCACUUGUUUUGUUGCUGUACUUGUCGUGGUCUAUUUCGCAUGGAAUGUAAACAAAUCAAGUAAAGCAAAUGCUAAAUUGCCACCAGGAUCUCGGGGCUUGCCAGUAGUCGGAUACCUCCCAUUUCUUGGAACUACUGACUUACACAAGACAUUCACGGAGUUAGCUGGAGUUUAUGGUCCGAUCUUCAAGAUUUGGCUUGGGAAUAAAUUGUGUGUAGUGGUGAGCUCGCCUACCCUAGUUAAACAAGUGGUCCGUGAUCAAGAUAUAACAUUCUCAAACCGCGACCCACCGAUCGCUGGAACUGUGACCACCUACGGUGGCAAUGAUAUUGCACUUUCCAAUUAUGGUCCCGAAUGGAAAAAGUUGCGAAAAUUAUUUGUGAGCAAGAUGAUGAGUAAUGCAACCCUUGAUGCUUGUUAUGCUCUAAGAAAACAAGAGGUUAAAAAUACUAUCAGGGAUUUGUACAACAACAAUAAGGAUAAUAUUGGCAGUGGCAAUGGCAAGCCCAUUGACGUUGGUGAAUUGUCGAUUUCAACUUUGGUACGUGUUAUGCAGAACAUGCUGUGGGGUCAAGCAUUGGAAACAAGAGAGAAAGAGAUUACUAAUCUCGGGGCUAAUCUUGCAGAACUCAUGGUGCUACUGGGAACACCAAAUAUUUCGGAUAUUUUUCCAGUGCUUUCAUUGCUUGACAUGCAAGGUAUAGAGAGAAGAGCUAAGAAGAUUUCUCUAUGGUUUGAAAACAUUAUCAAUUCUGGUGUUGAACAGUAUAGAAACAAGUUUUCUGUUGUUAAAGGUGAAGAAGCUGCAGCAGGAAAAAAUAUUGAACGAUCAAGAAAUAAGGACUUCUUGCAGUUACUGUUGGAGCUUCAGGAAAAUGAAGAUAGUGCUUCAUCUAUUAGCAUGAACCAACUAAAGGCCGUGCUCGUGGUAUGUUAAGCAACUAGACACAAAAAGUUGUAAAAGCACAGUGAUAUAUUUGCGCGAGGCCGCGAGUGAUGUUUUGCCUCGAGAACUCUCAAUUUUAUCUUACGGUAAAAAAUGUUUUUCAACUUUUUUUAAUUAGAAUUUUAUUGCAAUUUAUUUAACAGGACAUAAUUGUGGCCGGAACCGACACCACAACUACGAUGGUGGAAUGGACAAUGGCAGAGUUGAUGCAACAUCCACAAGUAAUGAAGAAAGUUCAAGAAGAAUUAGCUCAAGUUGUGGGCAUGGACAGUUGUGUUGAAGAAUAUCACUUGCCUAAAUUAAAUUAUUUAGAUGCUGUGGUGAAAGAAACAUUUCGUUUGCAUCCUGCGUUGCCCUUAUUGGUACCUCGCACGGCAAGCGAGAACAGCAAUAUUGGUGGCUAUACCAUUCCCAACGACACUAAUUUUAUGUUGAAUGUUUGGGCUAUUCACAGGGAUCCUCAACUUUGGGAUAAUCCCUUAGAUUUUCGACCUGAGAGGUUCUUGAAUGAUGAUAUCAUAAGCAAAUUCAAUUACUCGGGUAACAAUUUUCAGUACUUGCCAUUUGGUUCUGGUAGAAGGAUGUGCGCUGGCAUUCCUCUAGCUGAGAGGAUGUUGAUGCUUGUUCUGGCUUCGUUGUUGCACUUGUUUGAGUGGAAAUUGCCCCCGGGCACAAAGCUAGACUUAGCUGAAAAGUAUGGGAUUGUCAUGCGGAAAAAAGAGCCUCUGAUUGCUAUUCCAACACCAAGGCUACCAAAUUCAGAUCUCUACCAGUAAGAUCAAAAUGGUUGUGAUGAUAUUAUUUCCCAUUGUAUUGGAAUAUUUUUGUGUGAUUUGAAGUUCAAUCAUAAUAAAAUAUUUUAAUAAAAUGUCCUCGGUUGCUAAUUUUUCAAUAGUAUACUCUAUCAUCGUUUCUAACUGUCUUUUAGAGCCAUUUGGUCUAAUUUAUUUUUGAAUUAAAAUCCAUAAAUAUUUAAAUUUUUGAAUCAUAUUAAGAAUUAUCUGGAGUGUAUGGUCUGAUCUUCAAGUUCUGGCUUGUAAACAAAUUAGAGUUCUGAUAUUUGCCCCGGGUCAAACCCCGAAAUUAAAUAAAACGGCGUCGUUUUGUUUUUUUUUUUUUUUUUUUCUUUUUUACUUCUUCCAAACGUUGCCAUUUCACUUGUCAUUUGCAAGUGACUCCAUUGAUCCUUAGUUGAAACAGAGUUACACCGUAAAUCUCUUCCUCUUCGUUUCUUCGUUUCACCAGGGAACGAGACAGAUAAAAUCCAGCCAUUCUUCGACAUAACAAGAUAUCGAUUAGAAUCCAACGACAUAACUAUAAACCAUGACAUUGCGCUUGAUUUUGCGAAAUACCGAUUAAGAACCAGUAACUUUGAAUCCAAUGACCGUUAAGAGUUUGAAAUUGGUUUCAAAUGACUAAUGAGUUAUCAGAUUUCUUUGCGUCUACAUUUUCCUUGAAGGUUUCUCAGCAGCCAAACAAAUACAAAGCAAAUUGCAGAAGAAACACAUUUUGUUCCAAUGAAAAAUGUACGGAAACAUUUUAAAUAUGGAAAAUUACCUCAAAAUGAAGGCUCGCAAGAGAUUCGAGCAACAAAUUAGAUCAAAGGAACCGGCGCUGAGCAAGAAAGUGAGCUCAAAGAUUCCGAAACACAAACGUAAAUUCACAAAAAUGCAAAUCUAUGAUGAACGCCAAGAUCAAAAUUUUCGAAGAAAGGGAGCUGAAAAAAUAAAUGAAACGUCAAACUAGAUGACAAUGGAUUUGCUUCUUCAAAGGAGACAAUGAAAUUGUUACUAGAGACAGCUAGAGAAAUAGAGAGAGAGAGAGAGAGAGCUUGAAUUGGCUGUACCCCCACCAGAAAGUGGGUAGUGCCUUUUCCACUUGGACUUGAUAUGCGAAUCUGAAAAAAUCUGAACGAAGGACUGACUCAUCCCAGCUCGAAAGCAAACCAAGCUAGGACUGACUGAAAACGUUGCCGUUUGGAGAAGUUAAAAAAAAAAACUAAACAAAACGACGCCGUUUUGUUUAGUUUCGGGGUUUGACCCGGAAUUUGACCCGGGGCAAACAUCAUUUUCCAACAAAUUAUGCAUGGUCGUGUACACGCUUUCCCUAAUUAAGCAUGAGGUUCGUGAUCAAGGCACAACAUUCACUCCCUGCGACCCAACAAUCGCUACAUUGUUUGCCACCUAUAGUGCCAACGAUUUUGCACGGUCCAAUUAUGGUCCCCAAUCGAAAACGUUGCGCAAAUGUUUUCUGGGCAAGAUGAUAAGUAACGCAAGCCUUGAUGCUUGUUAUGGUCUAAGAAAACAAGAGGUUAAUAUAUAUAUAUAUAUAUAUAUAUAUAUAUAUAUAUAUAUAUAUAAAUUGGCAUUGUCAACUUUUGUAUGUUUUAUUCAGAACCCGCUGUGGGUUGACGCUAGCAUGCUUGCGUUAGGAGACGAGGGGACCAAUCUUGGGGCUGAGCUAAAAUAUAAGCUUGUAGAGAUCAUCUUGCUAAUGGUAAUGUUUUCCGAUGCUGGUUUAAUUCAUGGUAUAAAAAGGAGAACAAAAAAGAUUUUUCUAUGCUUUGAAAAUAUUAUAAUUUUUAUUUUAUAAUUUUUAAUAAAAUCUCUCAUUGAUAGCCAAACAAUUAAAAUUUUUGUAAAGCUUUUGUGGACUUUUGAUCGCGUAUGGUGCCAAUGUAUUGCGUGGUCCUAUUAUGGUUCCAAAUGGAGAAAGUUGCACAAGUUUUUUGAGUACCAGAAGAUCAGUAAUGUAAGCCUUGAUGGUUGUUAUGGUCUAAGAAAACAAGAGGCUAAAAAUUCUAUCUGGGAUUUUUAUAACAACAACAAAAUUGGCAAGCCCAUUGACAUUGGUGAAUUGUCAGUUUCAACCUUGGUAAGUGCGAUUCAGAACAUGCUGUGGGGUGAAACGCUUGAAAUAACAAAGAAAUGGAUUUACUAAUAUUGGGGCUGGGCUAAGAUUUAAGCUUGCAGAACUCACGGUGCUAGAGGGAACACCGAAUAUUUUGGAUAUCUUUCCAGUGCUUUCAUGGUUUAAUAUACAAGGUUUUCAGAGAAUAGCAAAGAAGAUUUCUCUAUGGUUUUAAAAUAUUAUCAAUUCUACUGCUGAACGCUAUAGAAACAACGUCUCUAUUGUCAAAAGUGAAGAAGCAGCAGCAGCAGGGAACAAUAUUGAAGGAAGGAAUAAGGACUUGGUGCAGUUACGCUUGGAGCUUCAAGGUAAAGAAGACAAUGCUUCAUCAAUUAGCAGGACGCAAUUUAAGAGCUUGCUCGUGGUAUGUUGCGCAACUAGCCACAGACAGUUACAGAAACUGAGUUUGGCAGAUUACGACCGUUUCUGGUGAUUACAUAAUUAUUUGUGGCUGUUUUUUUUUUUUAAUUGUAAUUUUCUUAACAGGAUAUAAUUUAGGGUGGAACCAACACCACAACUAUAAUGGUGGAAUGGACAAUGGCAUAAUUGAUACAGCAUCCACAAGUAAUAGAGAAUGUACAGGUAGAACUAAAUCGGGCCGUGGCCAUCGACAGCCAUGUUGAAGAAUUUCACCUAGCUAAGUUAAAAUAUUUAGAUGCUGUGGUGAAAGAAACAUUCUGCACUGUAAUAUAAUACAUGAAUCAUAUGUCCUCUAUUGUUUUUUUAUUUUUCUCUUUUUUUCAAUAGCUUAAUCUAUCAUUAAAAUCUUCUGAAAUUCUAAAUUAAUAUACAUUCAACCUAGAGUUCAAGCCAAAGUUUUAUUGAGCAUUAAAAAAAAAAAAAAUUCUACGACUCAAAAUUUUGUGGAGUAUAAAUUAAAAAUUAUGCGCCUACUAAGAGACAAAAAAUAAAUGAUACACAUUAACCAAUCAAAGGCGAACAAGAGAUUAUUAACAAUAACCUAAUAAUAAAAUUAUAAUGAAUAAAAAAGAAAUGGUACCUAGAAACACAUCACAGCCAUUUAAGCAAUCACUUACCCACAAAAUCCAAACAUAUAAACUAUGUGGGGGGGGGGGGGGGGGGGGGGGGUGUCAUGAUACCUUUGGGUUUCAUGAUAAUCAAAAUUGCAAUACCAUUAAAGACUCAAAAAUAAAAAAAAUCAUAGCCAAUAAAAGAGAAAAAAUAACCCACAAAAAAUCAUCAAGAAAAUAAAUUUGAGACUAAGAGAAGAUAUUAAUUAAACCCUGGGUUGCCUUGGAACCACGGCUUUGGCUUCCAUUUUUCAAUUCUUGGCGACAAGUCAUUUCUUGUUUGUUUACAAAGAUGACGGCUGAUUAAUGAAGCUCUAUUAACAAUGAAUAAAUAAAAAAACUGGCGCCUUGAAAAGACUAACGGUCAUAUUUUUCAACUCCGAAUUAGUGCCGUUUGAUGAGUCCUUGCCAAAACAAUCACUAGGCAAAUAACAAUCAUUUUUCAACCAGCAAAACUCAUUCAUUGUAUUUCACCUUAGUCAAGAUUUAAAAAUUGUUUCAAAAUAAACCUAGUGGUUAGAACCCAAGCGUCACAAUUGUGAGGUCAUGGGUUUGAGCCCCCACAACGUAUUGUGGGGGUUAAUUUUCUUCUUCAAUUUGAGUGAAAACAGUUCUCUCCCUUUCGAAAUGUGGGUGGAGUGGACGUCCCUCAAAUAUUAGAGAGGGUUCAAAUUUGGAUUGUACUAUAUAAGAUUUAUAAAUUAGUCCCAGUAAUUAUCUGAUUGUAAAUAUCAAUAUACUAAUCUAAUUAAAUAUGAGUUGUAAUAUGAGCGUUAGUCUCAUGUAAUUAAAAAAAAAAUGUUUCAAAAUAGGAUUCUUAAAAGGUUGGGGAAAUGGCCAUCAAUAUCCCCAACUUUCCAAAAAGAGACACCAAGACCCAUUUUGACCAUAAUACCCUUUACUUCUAUUAUCCCCAAAAAAUUGACUCUAAUGUUUUAUAAUAAAUAAAAAUAUAACAUUAAAAUAAAUGUAAUAGUAUAUACAUUUUAAAAUAGUUUCAAUAUCUAAAAACCAUUUUAAUAUUUUAAAUCCUAUUAUAUAUAUAUUAAAGUAAAUUUUAUAAUAAAUAGAAUCAUAAUAUUGAAAUAAAUGCAUUAAAAUUUAAAUUAUUUUUAAUAUUAUGUAAAAUAAUAAUUUUAUCAUUAUAAGUAUAUGAGAAUUUUUUUAAUUGUAGAAUGUAUUUAAUGCAAAUAUUUAUUUAAAAUCUCUACAAUAAAUAAAAAUAUACUAUUAAAACAAAUCUCUACAAUAUAUACAUACAUACAUAUACAUUGGCCUGGUAUUUUAUUUUUCAUUUUUUAAACUUAUUAAAUCCUCUAACUAUCAUUUGAUUAUUUUUUUCAAUGAUGAAGAGGCCAUUGCCGGAUAAAUUAUUAAAAUCAACUAGUUCUACAAGAAUGUCCCUUUUUAAAGGAAGAUGAUUCUCUCUCUCGAAAUUUUUUAUCUUGUGCUACAAACUAAAAACUUAUGCCAUUUCAUUAACCACAGAGAUCUUUGAGGAAAUGAUGCUUCGCCCCCCCCCCCCCCCCCCCCCCCCCCCCCCCCCCCCCGCGGCGCCAAAAAGUGUCCUUCCAUAUUUUGUGAAGGCUAAUACAUCGAUGAAUCUAGAUUUCUUUAAAUUUUUUGUUUUACUCAAUUCGAGAUAAUAAAUAGUUUAUCUUUAUUAAAUCUUUACUUUAACAAUGAUAGAUAUUCAAUCCAUGCAAAUAUCUAUCAUUGUAUGAGCUGAUUGCGUGGAGGGAGCGGUAAUUGAAAUCUAAUUGAAAACAGCAGAAGGCUGUUCUUGACAGAUCUCAAAUAUAUUACGGACACGUUGGGAGACAUCUCUAUCAUAGAUAUCCCCAUGCAGUGAUAUUUGUCGUGAUCUAAUUUUUAGUAAAUCUGUAAGAGAGAUUGUAACAUCUUUCAAGUUUUUUGGUUUGAUAUUCUAGACGAAAACGGUUUGUCGUUUCUUGAGCAAACGGCUAACCGUUUAAGUCCAGAGAGCAUGUUUGUUGUUCUGGAUAAAACGGCUCACCGUUGUUGCGAAAACGGCUAACCGUUUAACUCAAGAGAGCAUGUUUUAUGUUCUAGAGAAAACGGCUCACCGUUAUUGAGAAAACGGCUAACCGUUUAUUUACAGAGAGCAACGUAUUUGAUAUUCUGGAAUAAAAUGGCUCACCAUUUAUUGAGAAAACGGCUAACUGUUUAUUUCCAGAAAGGCGUCAAUUAGAAAAACGGUUAGCAAGAAUGAAAAUUUCAAUUGACAAUCGAUGCAAAUUCAAACCAAAAGAGUGUCUUCGAAAAAGUACCAUUUCUAAUGGUUGUAUUCUUUCAAAUAAACAUCUUCUUCAUUAAAGAAAUACACACAAUUAGAUUGAUAAUCAGAUUUUGACAGGUUUCUUAUAUGUUCUGGAAAUACAAUCUUAUUUGCUAGAGAUUGUAUUCAGGAUUUGUUAUAUCUUGGGGGUAAUUUGCCAUUAAAACUAUAUAGCAAACCAAGAUUGGUGAGGGCAAAUAAAACCUUAAAGGAAAGUAUGCAAACACGUCUCAAAUCCUAUGAAACUUUCUUUGUUCUUUGCCUCCAUAUUCUUAUUAUUCACUAACAAAAUCCCCAUGCAGUGAUAUUUGUCGUGAUCUAAUUAUUAGAAAAAUCUAUGAUUUCGCUACUGUAAUAAAAUUUGUCACUACUCUACAUUAAUCUAAAUGUCUGAUGAGAUUUGUAAUUGCUUCCGACGGGAAAACAGUUAAUAGGUUGAUUGAAUGUAUGUGGUAAAGAUUCCACGUAUCUCACGACAGAAUGCUGACCACUGGAACCCUAUCUACUUUUACGCGAUUAAUUCACGAGCUUAGGCACGACAAUUGCAAUACAAAUUAUCCCUUCAUCAUAUAUUUCGUUAAAAUUCAUUCUGAAGCACUAAAACUAAACAAUCGAAUAUGGCUUUGAGGGUCGAUGAUGCCAGCAGCAAUGAGAGUGCAAUUAUCACUUGUUUAGUUUCUGUGCUUGCCGUGGCUUAUUUAGCAUGGAAUGUGAAAAAAUCAAGGAAAGCAAAUGCUAAACUGCCACCAGGACCUCGCGGCUUGCCUGUAGUCGGAUACCUCCCAUUUCUCGGGACUACUGACUUGCACAAGAAAUUCACGGAAUUUAUUUUACUAUUAUAUUUAUAUUCAAAAUAAUUUUAAUUAGCUUUUAAAAUGAAUGAUUUUAGGAAAUUAUAAAUAAAGGUAACUAAGAAUUCUCUUAAUGUAAUAUAUUAUUAAUUAGUUUAAAAAUACAAAUUUAUUAAUUAGAGAAAUUAUUAGUGAAUUUAAAUUAAUGAUCUUAAUGAUUUGUUUGUACGAUUGCCCCCAAUCAAAGGUAAUUUUCCUAAAAAUUAUUAGGAAAUUAGAGAAAUUUAAUUUUUUUAGUGGGUUCAAUUGCCCACACACCCCGACUGAAGCAUUUUUUACAAUAUGUACUCCGUUUGUCGGCAGGAAAAUAAAGGUCUUGACACAUGAUCACUUCACUCCUUUAUUUACUUUGCUAACGCAGAUUUUGAGGUAUUAAAACAAAUAAUAAUUGAAUAUGACUUUGUGGGUCGACGACGCCAGCAACGAGGAGACCGCCAAUUAUCACAUUUUAAGUUUGCUGUAAUUGCCGUUGUUUUAUAUUAGUAGAAUAUUAGUGAUAAGAUAAUUGUAGAGUUUUCAUUUUUUUAAUAUUAAAAUCAAGUCAAUUUAUUAUAAUAAAUUUAGUUGAAUUUAAUCGUAUUACCACAUAAAUUGAAUAAUAAUAGAAUUCUCGACAAUAUUUCAAUAUUUUAAUCUCAAGCAUUGGAGUGGCAUUUAUUUGUUAUACGGUCGAUUUUAGAAUUUAUAAAAUUAUUCGUUGCUGAAUUGCACCAUAUGCUGCAUAACCUGAAACUUAAUAAACGGAACGUAGCGUUGGCACCGUUACUCAACAUUCACUGUUACGACUUUGUGACAUUAGAAUUAAAAUCUUUUCCACAUUUAAUUUGUUUACUUCCAACUUAAUAUUUAACAAAAUGUAUGUUAGCAUUGUAUGCCAUAUCAUCUGUAAUUUUGUCAGGAUCGAUCAUUCUAAUUUUUAAGCAGAACUUUUUGUCAAUGGACAAACACCUCAUACAGCUUGUCAGAGGCAUUAGUAUGAUGUAAAAUUGUAAUGGUAUAUCUUGAAUUAUUUUAGAAUAGUGAAUAACUAUUUGGAGCAAUAAAAACAAAUAAGACAGAUGAGAAAAUGGCUAAAAUUAUAUAAGUGACCCAAAAUUUUUUGCUAUUUCCAAGAAAUCCCCAAUCUGAAUGGACCAGAGGGAGGCAAGUUAGAAAUACAUUUCCUUCAUAGACAAUAACAACGAUGAGUGGAUGACAUCAAACCACGUUGGUAUCAAUAUUGAAAUAAAGGUGCAAUUAUUCAGCCAAUGAGCCUUAGUACACAUCAAGAUAUAUAAAAGUCAAGAAAAUGAAAAUUUAUCCCAAUUAAAACUCUUUCUGGCUGCAUUUAGCUGUUUCUGUUUAGGGAUGGCAAUUUAAUCCGGACCCAGCCCGACCCGGAUGAAUCCAGAAAAUUCGGGGUGGAUUCAACCCGUACCGGAGUGAAUAAAAUCUGAUAUUCAAAUUCAAUAUUUUCAACCCGGACGUUUCCGAGUCCGGAUCCGGAUUUGGGUAAACCCGCAUAUCCGGAACCCGGAUCCGGAUAACUAUUUUAAUAUUAAUUUUUAAAUCAUUUUAAAAUAAAAAAAAAUUAGAAAAAAUCAGCCCUAAUGCCCUUCCACAGCCACGGCAGCCAAACCAAACCCAGACAUUUCCUCUCUCUCUCUUUAGCCCUUCUUUUCAACAAAUCAUCAUCGUUGCUCAUCAUCGUUUCGUCGUGUUCAUCUUCAUCUUCAUCAUCAGCUGCCGUUUGUCCAGCUAUGUCACUAGUUUUGGCCGCCGUUUCCGUUUGUGCACCUUCGCAAAUCGGGAUCUCGAUUUGGCCGCCAACACUUCUACCCCCUGGUGUUUUGCUUUGUCCUCGACAACUUCUUUGUUGAUAAAUUGACGGGCACUUAUGAAUGCAUUUGUCUCUGUUUCUUCAUUUACACCUUCCCAGUUGUUUGUUCAUUUGCUUUUUGGAAGGAAAAAAAAAAAAAAUCAGCCACCAUUUAUCCUUCCCCUUUUCUUGACCUAACCCCACAAAGCCCAAUUUGUCAUCAUCAUUCAUUGGCAAAUUUGUUAUCAUCAUGGUUGAGACAUCAUGAUUAUCUUUGAUAAUUGAAUUUGUGUAAUAUGUUACCUUGGAUUUUAUUUCUAAGUAUUUGAUUUUGAAUUAUUUUCCAUUAUUGGUGUUAAUAGAUAGAAGAUUAGAAAGGAAUUCUUCACUGAAUAAAGAGAUGGGAAAUUGCAUCUUUUAGCAAUCAUCCGGGUUAUAAACCCGGAAUCCGGAAACCAGGAUUUUUCCGGGUUUAACCCAGUCCGGACCCGAAUGAAAAAUAUCCGGGUUUACAUCCGGGUCUGGUAUUAAAAUUUAUCGUCCGGAUCCGGAACAGGGAAGACAAAACCCGGACCCGAACCCACAUUUUGCCAUCCCUAUUUCCAUUUGAAGUUAACAACAACGUUUCUUUCGUUUUGUGGGCGACUUGACUGAGCCAGCUGGAUUCUAGUGCUAGUAUGUGAAAAUAGAAGGCUAAUGAUUUCACGUUCACUAGCCCACCUCCCCUCCUCUCGUUUCCUCUGAAUCAAUUUUCACGUGUGGUACCGAUUGAAAAUAUCUCUGACAUUUCGUGGACAUCUCUAUUGAAAAUAUCUCAGACAUUUCACUCAGGCAAACUUAUUAAUAUAAAAAAUCUAUGAUUUUUUCGUCUUAUACUGUAGAAAAAUUUGUCUAUACAUUAAUCUAGAUGUUUGAGGUGGUUUAUACAUCUGUGGUAUAGAUUUAUAGGUUGAUUGAUACGUCUGUGGUAUAGAUUUUAUGUAUUUCAUUAUCAAAUGCUGGCCUUUGGGACCCUAUCUACAUCUAUUUAUAAAACUAACGGGUGCCAGUUAUGCCAUUACAAAUUAUCCCCUCUUCAUACAUUUCCUUAAAAUUCUUCUGAAACACCAAAACUAAAUAAUCGAAUAUGGCUUUGCGGGUCGAUGAUGCCAGCAACAAUGAGGCUGCAAUUAUCACUUGUUUAGUUUCUAUGCUUGCCGUGGUUUAUUUCGUAUGGAAUGUGAACAAAUCAAGGAAAGCAAAUGCUAAACUGCCACCAGGACCUCGCGGUUUGCCUGUAGUCGGAUACCUCCCAUUUCUCGGAACUACUGACUUGCACAAGAAAUUCACGGAAUUAUCCGGAGUUUAUGGUCCGAUCUUCAAGCUCUGGCUCGGAAAUAAAUUAAGUGUCGUGGUGAGCUCACCUUCCCUAGUUAAACAAGUGGUUCGUGAUCAAGAUACAACAUUCGCAGACCGUGACCCGCCGAUCUCAGGACUAGUGACCUCCUUUGGUGGCAAUGAUAUUACAUGGUCCAAUUACGGUCCCGAAUGGAGAAAGUUGCGCAAAUUUUUUGUGGGCAAGAUGAUGAGUAACGCAAGCCUUGAUGCUUGUUAUGCUUUAAGAAAACAUGAGGUUAAAAAUACUAUCAGGGAUUUGUAUAACAACGGCAACAAAAUUGGUAAGCCCAUUGACAUUGGUGAAUUGUCGAUUUCAACAUUGGUAUGUGCUAUGCAGAACAUGCUGUGGGGUGAAGCGCUUGAAUUAAAAGAGAAAGGGACAACUAAUCUUGGGGUUGAGCUAAAAUUUAAGUUUGCAGAACUCAUGGUGCUACUGGGAACACCGAAUAUUUCGGAUAUCUUUCCAAUGCUUUCUUGGCUCGACAUACAAGGUAUAGAGAGGAGAGCAAAGAAGAUUUCACUCUGGUUUGAAAAAAUUAUAAAUUCUACUGUUGAAAAGUAUAGAAGCAAGGACUUUAAUGUUGAAGGUAAAGAAAGAGCAGGGGAAAAUUUUGAAGGAUCAAGGAACAAGAACUUCUUGCAGUUACUAUUGGAGCUUCAAGAAAAUGAAGACGGUUCUUCCUCAAUUAGCAUGAACCAAUUUAAGGCCGUACUCGUGGUAUGUUAAGAAACUAGCCGCAAACAGUUAUACAAGCACAGCUGUAUAUUUUGCAUGAGUGAUAUUUUCAACCUUUUUUUUUUAUAAUUAGAAUUUUAUUGUAACCUUUUGGACAGGAUAUAAUUACGGCUGGAACCGACACCACAACUACGAUGGUGGAAUGGACAAUGGCAGAGUUGAUGCAGCAUCCACAAAUAAUGAAGAAAGUUCAGGAAGAAUUAGCUCAAGUUGUGGGCAUGGACAGUUGUGUUGAAGAAUUUCAUUUGCCUAAAUUGAAAUAUUUAGAUGCUGUGGUGAAAGAAUCGUCUCGUCUGCAUCCUGCAGUGCCUUUAUUACUACCACGCAGAGCAAGCGAGAGUGGCAGCAUUGGUGGCUAUAACAUUCCCAAAGAUACAACUAUUAUGUUGAAUGUUUGGGCAAUCCACAGGGACCCUAAACUUUGGGAUAAUCCCUUAGAAUUUCGACCCGAGAGGUUUCUAGAUGAUGGUAUCGCGAGUAAGUUCGAUUACUCAGGUAACAAUUUUCAGUACUUGCCAUUUGGUUCUGGUAGAAGGAUGUGUGCUGGGAUUCCUCUAGCUGAGAGGAUGCUGAUGUUUGUUUUGGCUUCGUUAUUGCACUCAUUUGAGUGGGAAUUGCCAGCUGGCACAAAGCUAAACUUAUCUGAAAAAUUUGGGAUUGUCAUUAAGAAAAAAGAGCCUUUAGUUGCUAUUCCAACACCAAGACUAUCCAAUUCAGAGCUCUACCAUUAAGACAGAAUGGUUGUGAUGAUUUUGUUAAUUUCCGAAGAUUUGUAUGUUAUGUCAAGUUCAAUCGUAAUAAAAUAUUUCAAAUAAGAGUCCUCCGUUGCUUUUUUUUUUUUUUUCAACCGCAUAAUCUGUCGUCAUGCUUGUAUUUGGGGCUACUUUGGAAUAAUUAUGUUUGAAUUACAAUAUAUAAAUAUUACAUUUUAAAAUUUUAUGAGAUUCUAAAUUUAUACACGUUCAAUAACCCACUUCAUAUAUGUUUAACACAAUUUAUAUCAUACAUUGUAUACCCAUUUGUCAUAAAUUACGCUAUUUUAUAUCUCUAAAUAAUAUUACAUAUUGAUAUUAUAAAAUGUUGUUAACUCACGUGUGUAUAUAUAUAUAGCAAGUCACGUGCAUAUAUUAUUGGUUGUUAUAUGUUUGCUAGUUUGAUAGGAUUUCCUUUCCUUGUGAACUAGGGUAAUUCUUAUGUACAUAUAAAUAUUGAUCAAUAAGAGUGCAGAUGAUGACUGCAGUUUUGCAUCGUAGAAAUUCUUCGUAAAAUAUAUAUGUUUAUCAAAAGGCUAUACCAUUCAAUAUAUAUUGGAAAGAGAACAAAGAAGAUCUUCUUAUGGUUUGAAAAUAUUAUGAAUUCUGCUGUUGAACAGUAUGGAAACAAGGUCUGUUGUUAAAGGUGAAGAAGUCACAGGGAACAAUAUUGAAGGAAGAAAUUUCACGUUUAGUUGCUGAAUUUGCCGCUGUAUUCUAUCGGUAGUAAAAAGAUUAGAGUUUUUAUUUUUCUCUAUUAAUGUUAAGUCAAUUUUCUAUAACAAAUUCGGUUGAGUUUAAUUGUGUUACAAUAUAAAUUGAAUGAUAGUAGAAUUUUCAACGAAUAAUUCAAUAUUUCUAUCUCGAUUGUUGAAGUGCCAUUUAUUUGUUAUACGAUCGAUUUUAAAAUUUAUAAAAUUAUUUGUUACUAAAUUGCAUCAUAUGCUAAAUCACCUGAAACCUAAUUUCAUAACUAACCCUUUAUUUUUAGUUCUCAAGAAAUCUUGUAAGAACAAAAUUCUUUUGUAACAAAACGUUUACAACAAAUUAAUUUGUAACUCAUUCCUGUGCGAGAAUCACUCUCAAUUUCCUUCAAUUGCUGUUUAACAAUCAUCUGCUUAUCAAAAUUCAAGCAUAAUCUUUUUUUUUAAUUUCUUCAUCAUUCUUUUGAAAAAAAAAAUCAGGAUAUGCUGUUAAAUUUUGAAAUAAAUUAUCUCAAAAUAAUUACUAACCAGAAAAAACAAAGGGGUUUAACUAGGUUAUGCAUACCUUUGAAAAUUAUAUGUUGAUCGAUAAGAAUGAUGAUCACGAUUGACGAGUUUAAUUAAAAUAUAUAAGAUUUUAAAAUUAAUCAGGGUUAAAUUGUGAAUUUUAGAAAGAGAGGUUUUGUGAGAAUGUUGAAAGGGUGUUAAUAGUUCCACUCUUUUUAAAAACAACCAUAGUCAUCAUUUUUCCAUGGUUGUUUUUAAAAAGAGUAUUUCUUCUUCCCAUCUCCAUCUUAUUUAGAAAUUUCCCAGAGCCUUUGUUUCCCACCUUUCAUUUUUCUUCUUUCUAAUUUAAUAAUCCACCCUUCUUGUAUUCAAACUAAAAAAUUAAAAUCUGAAAAUUUAAAACCCAAUAUUAUAGUAUUAUAAAAAUAAUUACUCACAUUUUAUCAAACACCUCCAUUCUUCCAAGGCCUUGUUUUAGUAGUAGGCUUUUAUUAUCUCAAUAAAAUUGAAAAAAAAAAUCUCAAUAAUAUUGGAAAAAAACCCUACCCAUAUUUGUAACUUUAAUUUAUUAUUCUCCAUAGACCUACUUUUUAGUUUUGAAUUUUGUUGGAGCCAUAUAUAAACAGAAUAUGUUGAAAUCAGCACCCAAAAAAAAAAAAACUAAUUAUAUAAUUUAUGUUCCCAAGGACAUGGCUGAGUGAUUUUCAAGAAGUUUUGUUUGGCUGGCCACUUAGGUUUAAAUCUUGGUGGAGAUUAAGGGUUAAGAAAUAAAUUUAGACUUUGCACACCCCUUUAACUUUUAAAAAGAAAUGAAAAAAUUAAUUAAUUAAUCUUUAUUUUAUUUAUUAAAUGUCAUAAUCCUAUGCGUAUUUUAUUUGUUAUCUUUCUAUUUAAAAGACGAGGGCAGAUAAAACUGAAAUAAAUUUUUAGCCCUAUCUCCAUAUUUCAAGUUCCAUAGUUAGGUGACCAGCUAAAAAAAAUUAAUUGAAAGCUACUCCAUCAAAUUAAAAAAAUUUAUUUAUUUAAUUUGUGGAGAUGUAGAAAAUCAAACCCCAUACCUUUUCGCAUACACUGAACAUAUUUUAAUACAUGACUAUCAUCCUUUAUCCUAAAUACUACUAUAACUAAUAACAUACAAUUGAAAUAAUUAAUGUUAACACUUGGCUAUAAAUAAAGGUUUUGUGCUUGAAUCUUCACGCAUGACCUUCAUUCCUUUAUUGACUUUGCUAACACAGAUUUUGAGGCAUUAAAACUAAAUAAUAAUUGACUUUGUGGGCCGAGGAUGCCAGCAACAAGGAGACCACAAUUAUCACUUAAGUUACUCUAAUUGCCGUUGUCUUAUAUUCAUAGAAUAUUAGUAAUAAGAUUAUUGCAGAAUUUUUUUAAUAUUAAAAUUAAGUCAAUUUGUUAUAACAAAUUUAGUUGAGUUUAAUCGUGUUACUACAUAAAUUGAAUAAUAAUAGAAUUCUCGACAAAUAUUUCAAUAUUUUUAUCCCAAGCGUUGGAGUGGCAUUUAUUUGUUAUACGAUCGAUUUUAGAACUUAUAAAAUUAUUCGUUACUGAAUUGCACCAUAUGCUGCAUGACCUGAAACUUAAUAAACGGAAUGUAGCGUUGGCACCGUUACUCAACAUACUGUUACGACUUUGUGACAUUAGAAUUAAAAUCUUUUGCACAUUUAAUUUGUUUACUUCAAAAUUAAUAUUUAACAAAAUAUUUUUUUCACAUUAUCAAUGGACAAAACUCCAACGAAAAUAACUACACAAGAAAAAUGUAUGCUAGUAUUGUGUGCCAUAUCAUCUGUAAUUUUGUCAGGAUCGAACACUCUAAUUUUUAAGCAGAACUUUUUAUCAAUGGACAAACACCUCACACAGCUUGUCAGAGGCAUUAUUAUGAUAGAAAACUGUAAUGGUAUAUCUUGAAUUAUUGGUAGAAUAGUUCUUUGGAGCAAUAAAAAUAGAUAAGACAGAUGAGAAAAUUGUCAAUACCCCACCGCAAAAGCAAAAGAAAAAAAGGAAAGGAGACAAAAGAGGAAGAAGAAAAAAAGGAAAGGAGACAAAAGAGGAAGAAGAAAAAGAAAAAAGAACGAAGAAAAAAAUGGUGCCGCGCUGUAUUGGGAAGAAGAAAAAAAUUAAUAAAAUAAUAAUAAAUAAUAAAUAAUAAAUAAUAAAAUAAUAGUGCACAACAAUCAUUUGAUUGCUAUAAAUAAAGGGGCAUUUUCCUCAUUUUAUUCAUCGAAUUCUUCAGUUCCUUUCAAGCGAUUUAAGAGUCUAGUGAUUUGAGAGUUUGGGAGUAUUGUGAUUUUGAGUACUAAGUUAAAAUACUAUAAUACUUGUAACUCAUUUUCACUAGUAAAAUAUUUUUCUUCUGUCUUCGCCCGUAGACGUAGGCUAAAAGCUGAACCACGUAAUUUCUGGUGUCCCUAUGUGAUUAUGUGUCUCAUUAUUUCUCAAUUUUACUUUAGUUACGUGUCUGCUACACCCUUCAAUUUACUAACAAAAAUGGCCAAAAUUAUAUAAGUGACCCAAAUUUUUUUGCUAUUUCCAAGAAAUCCCCAAUCGGAAUAGACCAAACUAGAGGGAGGCAAGUUAGAAAUACGUUUCCUUCAUAAACAAUAACAGCGAUGAGUCGAUGACAUCGAGCCACGUCGGUAUCAAUAUUGAAUUAAAGGUGCAAUUAUUCAGCCAAUGAGCCUUACACAUCAAGAUAAAAGUCAAGAAAAUGAAAAAUUUAUCCUAAUUAAAACACUUUCUGGCUGCAUUUAGCUGUUUCUAUUUGAAGUUAAAAACAACAUUUCUUUCGUUUUGUGGGCAACUCGACUGAGUUCGCUGGCUUCUAGUGCUAGUAUGUGAAAAUAGAAGGCUAAUGAUUUAUUUGUUAUCUUUUGACAAAAAAUGUUAAAGAUAUAAUAGAUUUUCCAUGAUACAAAUGAAAAAUUAUAUCAACAUAACUUCCAAGCUACAGCAGCUAGUGUUUACCAAACACUUUGCUGUAGCUUUUAAGCUACAGCUGCCCAACCUCAAUAGGUUGAUUGAAUUUGUGGGAUAUAGAUUCCACAUAUCUCAUGACCUAUUAAUUAUACAAGUGGUUCUUGAUCAAGAACAACAUUUGCUUCCGACCCAGUAACCCAGCAACUGCUGCACUGGUCGCCACCUAUGGUGCCGACGAUAUUGCAUGGUCCAAUUAUGGCCUUGAAUGGAAAAAGUUGAGCAAAUUAUUUGUGGGCACGAUGAUAAGUAACGCAAGCCUUGAUGCUAGUUAUGGUCGAAGAAAACAAGAGGUUAAGAAUACUAUCAGAGAUAUGCAUAACAACAAAAAGGAAAAAAAAAAAAAAAGGCAUUGGCAAGUCAAUUGAUAUUGCUGAAUUGUCGAUUUCAACUUUGGCAUGUGUAAUUCAGACAUUGCGCGUUGUGGUAUGGCGCUGGCACGCUUGCAUUGCCGAGAGGACAAAUCUUGGGGCUGGGCUAAAAUUUAGGCUUGUAGAACUCAUGGUGCUAAUGGGAACGCCAAAUUUUUUUAACAUAUUUCGGUGCUUUCAUGGUUUAAUUCAAGGUAUAGAAAGGAGUGUUGAGAAUGUCAAAUAAAACGACAUUGAAUGGAAGUUGUCAAAGACAUGAUCCGCACUGAACGGCAAUGACACGGUUGGUAAAGAUUUUUUCAUAAUAUGCGUAUCUAAUUUUUGAAAAAUUGUAACCUCUGCUUCUAUAAAUAUGCUCAAUGUAUAAUGUUUUACUUAAGAAAUGAAAAACUUAAUUCUUUAUGGUAUCAGAGCGAGGCUCGUUGCUCUGUUUGUAACAAAAACAAAGAAAACUAAAUUCUUCCCACAACUAUUUUUCCACCUUUUUUUCUUCCUUAAAAGCAUUCCUAGCAUUACAGAAACCCAUGCCAAUAAAAGAACAAGCCACACAUAUGUAAAAACUUUAGUUUACAAAUCUAUCAACAUCCCCAUAAAUUUUCCCAAAAAGUGAUCUUCAAAAACCAAAAAUACCAUCAAUUUUCGCAUCUUCUAGUAAACAAACUAUAAAAGUUUCGCACUCAAACAGAGCCACACGCGCCUCCACGCGCUUCCCGGAAUCACGGCCAACCACCACGCGCCUCUGUCACCACCAACUCACCCUCAUGCGCUCCAGAUGUUGCAGAAGACGCAAAACGACGUGUCGUUUUCUUCUCUAAAAGUGCAGCAACGUGGAAAUGACUUUUUGUUUUUGCCUUAAAUUGUUUUUCCUCGUUUGAAGCUAUACAACAUUUUUCUUUCUAAACCUGUUUUUUACAAUAAAAAAAGAAAAAAAUGGAGAAAACUCCAACUGAAUCUACUCAUGUUGUCAUUCAAUCUGUUCAACCUGAUGGAGUAUUUAAUGCCGAAAUUAUCCUUACUAAGACAAACUACGAUAUUUGAUCUCAAAUAAUGGAGAUGCAUCUCGCAGAAAGAAAAAAACUCCCAUAUAUUCGUAGCAGCAUAAAUCCAUCUGACAAAUUUUCAAAGAAAUAUGAGAAAUGGUAUAGUGAGAACCAAAAAGUAAAAAGAUGGUUACUCAUAACCAUGUGUCCUGAGAUCAUGAAGCGAUAGUUACAAAUUCCUACAGCCUACGAAAUUUAGAAUGCAUUAUCAAAAGCCUUUUAUAAUGGAAGCGAUGAAAUACAAGUUUUCACUCUAAAUCAGAAGGCGUUCUCUACGAAGCAAAAUGGACAACCACUCUCUAAAUUCUACGGAGAAUUGAUCAAAAUGUUUCAAGAACUUAAUCACCGAGAUAAAGUGGUCAUGAAGGAUCCAGAAGAUGUUAUAAUAUAUAGGAAGUUUGUUGGAAGAUUGAGAGUGCACAUUUUUCUUGCUGGACUAGAUGAAGAAUUUGACCAAGUUUGUGGAGAAAUUCUACGAAAAGAUACUAUCCUAGACUUAAAAGAAUGUUAUUCUCUAAUCCGAAAAGAAGAUGUACGGCAAAGCAAACUAACAAGAAGGUGGACGACUCAGAAACGUCUGCUAUGAUACCACAAGAGAACAAUGUUUUGAAAUUGUUCGAUAUCCUGACUGGUGGGAUACUCGAAGUAAUAACACAAAGCAGAGAUAAAAAACUGCAGUAGCUGAAUCCACAUCCACUACAGAUCUUAGAAAAGAAUCUUCAGCGCAAAUUGCAACCUCUGUCAAUUCAGGUAAGGUCAUUAAAACUCUUACAUUUGUUAUUAAUAGUAUAUGGAUAAUUGAUUAUGGUGCAACUGAUCAUAUGACUUUUGAUUCUUGACAAGUUUCUUAAUUGAAACCAUCUUCACAUAAACAUGUUUCUACUGUAAAUAGAACCACAACCUCAGUUAUUGGGGAAGGAUCUUUACAACUCACAAUUAAAUCAAAUUUAGACUUUGUGUUAAUUGUUCCAUCUUUAAAUUAUAAUCUUUUAUAUGUGUCUCAAAUAACCUCUUACUUAUCAUGUGUUGUAAUGUUUUGGCCCGAUCAUUGCAUGUUUAAGGACAUCCAAAUGAAGGAAACGAUUGGUUAUGAUAUUAAAUAAGGCAACUUGUAUUACCUGGAGAUGACAUCAACAAACACUGAAAAGCUAAGCCCCGCAUUAGUAGCAGACAAUUCCAUGAAAAAAAAGGAAAUAAGAAAUUUGGUUAUGGCAUAGACGAUUAGGGCAUGUGUCAUUUGAUUUCUUAAAAAAAUUGUUUCCUAGUUUGUUUCUGAAAUUUGAUAUUUGUAACUUUAAAUAUGAUGUUUGUGAACUUUCAAAUAGCCAUCGAACUACUUUUCCAUUGUCCUUAAAUAAGAAUCCAAUUCCUUUAAUGGUAGUACAUUCUGAUGUAUAGAGACCAUCUAAAGUUUCUACCAUUGGAAGAGCUCGUUGGUUUGUUACAUUUAUUGAUGAUUGUAGCAGAAUGACAUGGAUUUUUUUAUGAAAUUAAAAUCAUAUGAUGGUGACAACUCUAUUUCAGACACAAAUUUGAGUUCUACAUACUGAUAAUGGAGGCGAGUAUAUGAGCACAACAAUUCAACAGUUUUUGAAAUCACAAUGAACUCACCACCAAACCACUUGUGUGGGGACACUCCAACAAAAUGGCGUUGCUAAACAAAAAAAUAGACAUUUACUAGAAGUUGUUCAAGCAUCACUAAUUUAGGCCCGCAUGCCACUAUUUUAUUGGGGAGAAGCAUUGGCAUCCGUAGCAUACUUGAUCAAUCGGACACCUUCAAUCUUCCUUGGAUUCCAAACUUAUUUUCUAGUUCUAAAUGAAGAAUUAUGUCAUCAAAUGUGUCGAAUUUACCCCCACAUAUGUUUGGUUGUGUUGCCUUCGUUCAUUUGCCAUGACAAGAUAAAUUAUCUCCUCGAGCACUACGUUGUGUGUUUGUAGGGUAUGCCUUACAUCAAAAGGGGUACCGAUGCUAUCAUCCUCUAUUAAGAAAAAAUAUACAUCACCAUGGACAUAAUCUUUCAUGAAGAUAUCAUGUAGUACCCAUCGGAGCUUGAAUUUCAGAGGGAGUAUAAUGAAGAGGAAAUUCAUACUCUUACAUAUCUUUCACCUGAAGAAGAUCAAUCCUCCAUUGAGGUAGUAAACGUUCAAGAUACUGGAAAAGAAAACGACAAUGAUUCUCAGGCUGAGACAAGUGAAGACACAUUUAGGGAGCAAAAUAACUCAGACAUAACCACAAUCGAGAACGAGUCCAUGAAGAGCCACAUGAAGAAAUAUCUAACCAAUCAUCUGCAGAGGAUGAUCCUACCACAAAUCCCAGUCUAAUCAGAAGAAUACUUCCCCAGCAUCAAAAUAGAGGUAUCUCUAAACCCACAUAUAAGACUGACCUCUCUAGUAGAGUCAAAUACCCUAUGAGUCAUUUUGUAUCUAACCAUGGCUUAUCAAAAUCAAAUCAGUCAUUUGUGAAUCAAUUAUCUACUGUGUCUAUUCCUAACAGUGUGCAAUAAGCCUUAAAAUAUCGAAAGUGGAAAGGGCUAUGAAUGACGAAAUGAGAUCUCUUUAAAAAAAAUCAAACAUGGGAACUAAUUGAUCUUCCACCAGGAAAGAAACCAGUGGGUUGCCGAUGGAACUAGUUGAUCAUCCACCUCCAUUCUGACAAGCAAUGUUUAUCAGCAAUAACAAAUGACUGAAGCAUUUUAAUGAGGUUAGUAACGAAAAAGAGUUUAAUUAGAGAAUAUUAUAAGAGAAAUUCUAAUUUUUGAUUUUUAAUAAAUUAAAAUAUCUUAAAAUAUUAUUAGUUGGUGGUGGUUUCAUGUCAGAUUAAGACGUGACACCUUACUAAUGAGGUCGAGACAAUUAGCUUAAAUUAUUUCAAUGCAUUUGAAAUUUCCACUAAUGACUAUAAUUCUUUGUCCUAAUUACUAUGAUAAUUAAUAACAUACAAUUGAAAUAGUUAAUAUUAGCACUUGGCAAUAAAUAAUUAAAUUUCAUUAACACUAAAUAAUAAUUGAAUAUGGCUUUGUACAUCGAUGACGCCAGCAACAAGGGGACCGCGAUUAUCACUCUUUAAGUUGCUUUUAAAAUUGAUUUUAGUAGUGAUAUGAUUAUUGUAGUGUUUUUAUUUUUUAUAUUAAAAUUAAGUGAUUUGUUAUAAUAAACUUAGUUGAGUUUAAUGGUAUUACUACAUAAAUUGAAUAGUUAUCAAAUAUUUUAAUAUUUUUAUGGCAAGCGUUGACGUGGCAUUUAUUUGUUGUAUGAUGGAUUUUAAAAUUUAUAAAAUUAUUUGUUAUUAAAUUACCCCCAGAUGCUACAUCACCUGAAACUUAAUAAAGGUAUGAAGACAUGUGUGUGUGGACUGAAAUGAAGAAUAUGGAAAAGUUGAGAGCUGUUGUGCAGAUUGAGUUCAGUUGAUGGGGUCUAUUAGAUAUUGUCUGCUGACGUGGCAUGAAUUCGUUAUAAUCUGUUAUAACGAGUUCAGUAUAUCAGUAUACAAUAGAGCUGAUGGAUGGUGCCUGUUUUAGAGUCUUUUUUAUAUUCAUUUGUUCAUCAUUUUGCGCAAGAUCUGUUCCAUUGUGAUAUGUGUAAAGUCUUAUGUAAACCCACUUAUGAUUGGAUUAGUUCUUGAUUAAUAACAACGAGUAAAUUUUCCUUCAAGUGUGCUGGUCUGUGCCCCUGUUUUUUGUUCUGAUAUUGUUUCUUUGUUCUGGCAUUUCAUUUCGAUUGUGUUCUUGGUGUUUCUACUCAUCAAGAUUUAUGAGUCUUGUUGAGAUUAAAGACUUAAUAGUCUUAACAAGUGGUAUCAGAGCCUGGUGAAUCUCAGCCAUGUCUCUUUCGAAGCAUGAAAUUGAAAAAUUCACCAUUGGUGGUGAUUUCUCGCUUUCGAAAUUAAAAAUGAGGGCUCUCCUUGUGCAUUAGAGGCUUGAAUUUGCUCUGGAAAAAGAUAAUCUAGAGGCUGCUACAAGUUAUGUGACUGAUGAUAAGAAGAGACAAAUCCAAAACCGAGCUCGUAGCACUCUAGUUUUGAGUCUUGGUGACUCAAUCUUGAGAAAGAUUUCUGAAGAGAAGACAACCUUAGGGAUUUGGAACAAGGUAGAAGCUUUGUGUACAAAGAAGUCGCUAGCUCACAGACUAUUCUUGAAGAAAAAGUUAUACACAUUCUCGAUGAGAGAAGGAGUCACAAUUCAAGAUCACAUUGAUACCUUCAACAAGAUCAUUCUUGAUCUUGAAGGGGUGGAAAAUGUGACAAUAAGUGAUGAAGAUAAAGCCUUCUUCUUGUUGAGUUCCUUACCAAAGUCUUAUGAAGGCUUUGUAGAUACAAUGCUUUAUGGCAGAACAACAUUGACUCUUGAAGAUGUUAAAGCAUCUCUAAGUUCAAAAGAGAUUCAGAAGAACAAUGAGAUUGAAACAAAUAAUGGUGAUGGGCUGAUUGCCAGAUCAGAAAAGAAGAAAGAUCAGAAGAAUAAAAAUCAGGGAAAAUGACAUGGAAAGAAUUAAGAAAAUGCAGACAAGAAGAAAAAGAAGAGAAAAUGCUUCUACUGCCGGAAGGAAGGGCAUUACAUCAGGGAUUGUCUUAAAAAGAAAAAAAAAGAAAGUCAAGAGAAGUCAGGGGAUGCAGCUGUAGCCUCUGAUGAUGCCUCUGAUGGAUAUCACAUUGCUGAUUUACUUGUGGCCUCAAAUAGCAAUACUAAAGGUCAGUGGGUCAUAGACUCUGAGUGCUCUUUUCACUUGUGGCCUGAUAAAACCAUAUUUUACAAAUAUGAAGUUGUUGAUGGUGGUAGAGUCUUAAUGGGAAAUAAUAAUGUGUGUAAUCUUGUUGGUAUUGGUUCUGUGAAGAUCAAGAUGUUUGAUGGAACUGUAAGAGCUCUACAUGAGGUGAGGCAUGCUCCUAGGCUAAAGAGAAAUCUAAUCUCUUUAGGCAUGCUAGACAGCUUAGGGUAUUUCUUUAAAUCAGAAAGUGGUGGUUUAGAGAUAAGAAAGGGGACUGAGAUAGUGAUGAAGGGGGUUAAAGAAAAUGGCUUAUAUGUAUUGUAAGGCUCAUCAGUGCUUCUUCAAAAGGGAAUUUCUGCUCUUUUUGAGGAAGAUAUAACCAAGUUAUGACAUCUUAGACUUGGUCAUAUGAGUGUCAAAGGGAUGUAAGAGCUCAGCAAACAAGGGCUACUUGGUGGGGAUAGAAUCCAGCAACUGGAAUUAUGUGAAAAUUGCAUUUUUGGCAAAGCUCACAGGUCCAAGUUUCACAAGGGGGAGCAUAUGUCUAAGCAAGUUUUGGACUAUGCACAUGCUGACCUUUGGGGGCCUGCUCAAGUCCCAUCCUUGAGUGGUGGCAGGUAUUUCAUAUCACUAAUUGAUGAUUACUCAAGGAAGAUGUGGGUCUACAUACUCAAGACCAAAGAUCAAGCCUAGGAAAAAAUUCAAGGUAUAGAAAUCUUUGGUAGAAAAUCAAUUUGGAUUCAAGCUCAAAUGCUUGAGAACUGAUAAUGGUUUGGAAUUUUGUAGCAAAGAAUUUGAGGAAUAUUACAAAAAAACAUGGCAUAAAAAGGCACAAAACAGUCAGGUUCACCCCCCAGCAGAAUGGCUUGGCUGAAAGGAUGAACAUGACCUUGGUAGAUAAGACCAGAUGUAUGUUGAUAAAUUCAAAGCUUCCAAGAAGCUUUUGGGCAGAAGCUGUCAAUACAACAAGUUGUUUGGUUAACAGAAGCCCAUAUUCUGCAAUUGGCUUCAAAACACCAGAAGAAUUGUGGAAGGAAAAACCUGUAAAUUACCAAAAUCUCAGUGUUUUUGGAUGCCCUGCUUAUCUCCACAUCAAUCAAGGCAAGCUGGAAGCUAGGGCCUUGAAAGGAGUCUUUGUUGGAUAUCCUGAUGGGGUUAAGGGAUACAUAAUCUGGUGUAGAGAGUAAGGGAAGUGUAUAGUCAGCAGGGAUGUUGUGUUUCAUGAAUUUGGAUUGCUAAAAGAAAAUGCAGAGAAUGAUACUAGACUACAAAAUGAUUCAAUAAUUAUCAAACAAUCUGGAACUUCCAAGGUUAAGGUGGAGCUGUUUGGAAAUAAAGACAGUAGAAAAGAGGUAGCUGAUUAUGAAGAGAGGACCACAGCUAAAGUUGAGGAACAUGAGUCAUCAGAGUUGCCACAAGCUGACUUGCAGACUUAUCAGUUAGCAAGAGAUAGAGUUAGAAGAGAAGUCAAAGCACUAGUGAGGUAUGGCUAUGCUGACUUAAUUACUUAUGCAUUGUUGUGUGCUGAUGAUGUGGCAAUUGAAGAGCCUGCUAACUUCUCUGAAGUUAUUGAAAGUGUGCAUUGUGAUAAGUGGCUUGAGGCAAUGCAAGAUGAAAUGGGAUCCCUUCAAAGAAAUCAGACCUGGACACUUGUUCCAAAUCUAGGUAAUAAAAAGUUGAUCAGUUGUAAGUGGAUCUUCAAGAAGAAUGAAGGAAUUCCAGAUGUUGAACCUCCCAAAUAUAAAGCAAGGCUAGUGGCUAGGGGGUUUACACAGAGAAAGAGUGUAGAUUUCAAUGAAAAAUUUUCCCCUGUUCUUAAGCACAUUUCAAUAAGAAUUUUAUUAGUCAUGGUAGCCUUACUUGACUUGGAGCUUGAGCAAAUGGAUGUAAAAACAGCAUUCCUUCAUGGUAAUCUUGAAGAACAGAUAUUGAUGGCACAACCUAAAUGUUUUGAGUGCAAAGGAAAUGAGGAUUAUGUUUGUUUGCUGCAUAAGUCCUUGUAUGGACUCAAGCAAUCCCCACGACAGUGGUACAUAAGAUUUGAUGAUUUUAUGGUCUCAAAAGGCUAUCACAUAAGCAAAUAUGACAGUUGUGUUUACUUUGGUGGAUCAUAUCAAGGUGGAGUUGCUUAUUUGCUUCUGUAUGUUGAAGAUAUGUUAAUUGCAAGAAAAUAUAAGUUGGAGAUAGAGAGGUUGAAGAAAUGAAGGAUCUCGGCAAUGCCAAAAGAAUCCUUGGGAUGAACAUUACAAGGGGCAGAUCUGCUGACACUUUGUUCUUGAGUCAUGAGAAAUAUAUCAAGAAGGUUCUGGAGAGGUUUGAGAUGCAAGACUAUAAACCUGUCCAAACACCACUUGGUCCCCAAUUCAAGUUGACAGCAGCUCAAUCAUCAGAAGAUGAGUCUCAGGUGAGUGAAUUCCCAUAUGCACAGGUUGUAGGGAGCCUGAUGUAUGUAAUGGUAUGCACCAGGUCAGAUAUAGCUUAUGCAGUAAGUGUUGUCAGCAAAUUUCUCAGUUGUCUAGGCAAGGUUCACUGGAAUGUUGUAAAAUGGAUAAUGAGAUAUCUUAAGGGCUCUUUUACUUGUGGUUUGCUGUAUGGGAAGACUAAGAGUGACAUAAGUGAAGUCCUGGGGUUUGUAGACUCUGACUUUGCUGGAGAUCUUGAUAGAAUGAAGUCAACCUCAGGGUAUAUGUUUGUGUUAAACAGUUGCCUGAUUAGCUGGAAGUCAUCACUUCAGUCUGUGGUUGCUUUAUCCUCAACUGAAGCUGAGUUUGUUGCAACUACAGAGGCAGUAAAAGAGGCCAUGUGGCUAAGAGGUUUGCUUAAUGAGUUAUGGUUAAAUCAGAAAAUUGUUCAGGUUUUCUGUGAUAACCAAAGUGUCAUACACCUGGUAAAGAAUCAGAUGUAUCAUGAAAGAACCAAGCACAUUGAUGUGAAGCUCCAGUUUAUCAGAGAUGAGGUUGGAAAAGGAACUAUAAUUGUGUCCAAGAUCUAUACCAGUGUGAAUCCAACUGAUGUUAUUACAAAAGCACUUCCCACUGCAAAAUUUGAAUUCUAUGUGAAUCUAAUGGGCAUCUCGCCCAAACCUAACUAAAUUCAAUAGUGAAUUGUAGUUGAAUGAAGGUUUUUUAGGUGCUGUGUUAUUGAAAGGAUCAACUGAAUCAACUGCAAGGUGGAGAAUGUGAAGAUGUGUGUGUGGACUGAAAUGAAGAAUAUGAAAAAGUUGAGAGCUGUUGUGCAGAUUGACUUCAGUUGAUGGGGUCUAUUAGAUAUUGUCUGCUGACGUGGUAUGAAUUCGUUAUAAUCUGUUAUAACGAGUUCAAUAUAUCAGUAUAUAAUGGAGCUGAUGGAUGGUGCCUGUUUUAGAGUCUUUUUCGUAUUCAUUUGUUCAUCAUUUUGCACAAGAUUUGUUCCAUUGUGAUCUGUGUAAAGUCUUCUGUAAAUCCACUCAUGAUUGGAUUAGUUCUUGAUCAAUAACGAGUAAAUUUUCCUUCAAGUGUGCUGGUCUGUGCCCCUGUUUUUGGUUCUAAUAUUGUUUCUUUGUUUUGGCAUUUCAUUUCGAUUGUGUGCUUGGUGUUUCUACUCAUCAAGAUUUGUGAGUCUUGUUGAGAUUAAAGGCUUAAUAGUCUUAACAAAAGGGAAUGUAGCAUUGCCAUUAAUCAACAUUCACUCUUAUGACUUUAUGACAUUAGAAUUAAAAUCUUUCGUACAUUUAAUUUAUUUGCUUCCAAAUUAAUCUUUAAUAAAUAUUUUUUCACAUUAUCAUCAAUGGACAAAACUCCAACGAAAAUAACUACACGAGAACAAUUUAUGCUAGUAUUAAAUGCCACGAUAUCUAUAACUUUGUCUGGAUCGAUCAUUCUAAUUUUUUCGCAGAACUUUUUGUCAAUGGACAAACACCUCACAGAGCUUGUCAGCCGCAUUAUUACGAUGUAAAAUUGUACCGGAAUAUCUUGAAUUAUUAGUAGAAUAAUGAAGACUAUUUGGGGCAAUAAAAACAAAUAACGCAGAUAAAAAAAUGGCUAAAAUUAUGUAAGUGAGCCCCAAAGUUUUUGCUAUUUCCAGGAAAUCCCAAAUUUGAAUGGACUAGAGGGAGGCACGUAAGAAAUACAUUUUCUUCCUAGACAAUGACAGCUAUGACAUCAAGCCACGGUGGCGUCAGUAUUGAAAUUAAGGUGUAAUUAUUCAGCCAAUGAGCCUUACACAUCAAGAUAAAAGUCAAGAUAAUGAAAAUUUGGCUGUUUCCAUUUGAAGUUAAAAGCAACGUUUCUUUCGUUUUGUGGGCGACUCGACUGAGCACGCCCCAAUAGCUAUAUUUAGGGCGUCAAUUUGAUAUUUGAAUGGACAGGCAAGUAAGAAAUACAUUUCCUUCAUAGACAAUGACAACGAGGACAUCAAGCCACAUCAUUAUAGUUUGUAGCCCAUCUACAUUUAAACGAUUAAUAAACAAGCUUAGGUGUGCCACUGCUAUUAUUAAUUAUCCCCUGAUCAUUAUAGUUUCUGAAACAGUAAAACUAAACGAAAUUGAAUACAUCAACGAGACCGCAAUUAUCACUUGUUUAGUUGCGGUAUUUAACUUAAUUUUAAUAUAAUAUAUUUGUUAGUUAAACUUUUAAUAAUCAAAUAAUUUUGAUUUAAAAAUAAAAUUAUAGAAAUUAUUAAUUAUUAAUUAUUAAAAAUUCACAAUUAAGGGAACGUUCAUCAAACACACAUAGCUAUUGUUUUCUCUAUAUAUUGCAGUGUGUACGAUAUUGAGGGUUGAAGCCCCAAGCAUGCUCUAAAAUCCAGAUAAUAAUUAGAUCCGGGCCAAAUAUUCAUCAUUGUGUCAGCUGAUCAGUCGGUGGACAUCUCUAUUGAAAAUAUCUCUGACAUUUCACUCGACAAACUUAUUAAUAUAAAAAAUCUGUGGUUUUGCCGUCUGAAUAAUGUAGAAAAAUUUGUCUAUGCAUUAAUCUAGAUGUUUGAGGUGAUUUAUACAUCUGUGGUAAAGAUUUAUAGGUUGACUUAGACGUCUGUGGUAUAGAUUUUAUGUAUUUCAUUACAAAAUGCUGGCCGUUAGAACCCUUUCUACAUCUAUUUAUAAGAUUAACGGGUGCCAGCUAUGCCAUUACAAAUUAUCCCCUCAUCAGAUAUUUCGUUAAAAUUCAUUCUGAAACACUAAAACUAAAUAAUCGAAUAUGGCUUUGCGGGUCGAUGAUGCCAGCAGCAAUGAGACUGCAAUUAUCACUUGUUUAGUUUCUGUGCUGGCCGUGGUUUACUUCGCAUGGAAUGUGAAAAAAUCAAGGAAAGCAAAUGCUACACUGCCACCAGGACCUCGCGGCUUGCCUGUAUUCGGAUACCUCCCAUUUCUUGGAACUACUGACUUGCACAAGAAAUUCACGGAAUUAUCCGGAGUUUAUGGUCCGAUCUUCAAGCUUUGGCUUGGAAAUAAAUUAUGUGUAGUGGUGAGCUCACCUUCCCUAAUUAGACAAGUGGUUCGUGAUCAAGAUACAACAUUCGCGAACCGUGACCCACCGAAGGCUGCACUAGUGGUCUCCUAUGGUGGCAAUGAUAUUGCAUGGUCCAAUUACGGUCCCGAAUGGAGAAAGUUGCGCAAAUUUUUUGUGGGCAAGAUGAUGAAUAACGCAAGCCUUGAUGCUUGUUAUGCUCUAAGAAGACAAGAGGUUAAAAAUACUAUCAGGGAUUUGUAUAACAACGACAACAAAAUUGGCAAGCCCAUUGACAUUGGUGAAUUGUCGUUUUCAACAUUGGUAUGUGCUAUACAGAACAUGCUGUGGGGUGAAGCGCUUGAAUUAAAAGAGAAAGGGACCACUAAUCUUAGGGCUGGGCUAAAAUUUAAGCUGGCAGAACUCAUGGUGCUUGCGGGAACACCGAAUAUUUCGGAUGUCUUUCCAAUGCUUUCAUGGCUUGACAUACAAGGUAUAGAGAGGAGAGCAAAGAAGAUUUCACUCUGGCUUGAUAAUGUUAUAAAUUCUACUGUUGAACAGCAUAGAAACAAGGAGUUAACUGUUGAAGGUGAAGAAAGAGCGGGGAAAAAUUUUGAAGGAUCAAGGAACAAGAACUUCUUGCAGUUACUAUUGGAGCUUCAAGAAAAUGAUGACAGUGCUUCCUCAAUUAGCAUGAACCAAUUCAAGGCCGUACUCGCGGUAUGUUAAGCAACUAGCCACGAACAGUUAUACAAGCACAAUUGUAUAUUUGCAUGAGUGAUAUUUUCAACCUUUUUUUUUAAUUAGAAUUUUAUUGUCACCUUUUGGACAGGAUAUAAUUACGGCUGGAACCGACACCACAACUACGAUGGUGGAAUGGACAAUGGCAGAGUUGAUGCAGCAUCCACAAGUAAUGAAGAAAGUUCAGGAAGAAUUAGCUCAAGUUGUGGGCAUGGACAGUUGUGUUGAAGAAUUUCACCUGUCUAGAUUAAUGUAUUUAGAUGCUGUGGUGAAGGAAACAUUUCGUCUGCAUCCUGCAGUGCCUUUAUUACUACCACGUAGGGCAAGCGAGAGUGGCAACAUUGGUGGCUAUACCAUUCCCAAAGAUACAACUCUUAUGUUGAAUGUUUGGGCUAUCCACAGGGACCCUCACCUUUGGGAUAAUCCCUUAGAAUUUCGACCCGAGAGGUUUCUGAAUGUUGGUAUCGAGAGUAAGUUCGAUUACUCAGGUAACAAUUUUCAGUACUUGCCAUUUGGUUCUGGUAGAAGGAUGUGUGCUGGGAUUCCUCUAGCUGAGAGGAUGCUGAUGUUUGUUUUGGCUUCGUUAUUGCACUCAUUCGAGUGGGAAUUGCCAACUGGCACAAAGCUAAACUUAUCAGAAAAAUUUGGGAUUGUCAUUAAGAAAAAAGAGCCUUUGGUUGCUAUUCCAACACCAAGACUAUCCAAUUCAGAGCUCUACCAUUAAGACCAAAUGGUUGUGAUGAUUUUGUUAAUUUCCGAAGAUUUGUAUGUUAUUUCAAGUUCAAUCGUAGUAAAAUAUUUCAAAUAAGAGUCCUCCGUUGCUUUUUUUUUUUUUUUUCAACGGCAUAAUCUGUGGUCAUGCUUGUAUUUGGAGCCACUUUAGAAAAAUUAUGUUUGAAUUACAAUUUAUAAAUAUUACAUUUUAAAAUAUUAUGAGGCUAAAUUUAUACACGUUCAAUAACCCGCUUCAUAUAUAUUUAACACAAUUUAUAUCAUACAUUGUACACCCAUUUAUCAUAAAUUACACUAUUUUGUAUCUCUAAAUAAUAUUACGUAUUGAUAUUAUAAAAUAUAUAUGGAAAAGAGAACAAAGAAGAUUUCUUAUGGUUUGAAAAUAUUAUGAAUUCUGCUGUUGAACAGUAUGGAAACAAGGUCUCUGUUGUUAAAGGUGAAGAAGCAACAGGGAACAAUAUUGAAGGAAGAAAUUUCACAUGUUUAGUUGCUGAAUUUGCCGCUGUAUUCUAUCGGUAGUAAAAAAAUUAGAGUUUUUAUUUUUCUCUAUUAAUGUUAAGUCAAUUUUCUAUAACAAAUUCGGUUGAGUUUAAUUGUGUUACAAUAUAAAUUGAAUGAUAAUAGAAUUUUCAACGAAUAUUUCAAUAUUUCUAUCUCGAUUGUUGAAGUGCCAUUUAUUUGUUAUGCGAUCGAUUUUAAAAUUUAUAAAAAUUAUUUGUUACUAAAUUGCAUCAUAUGCUAAAAUCACCUGAAACCUAAUUCCAUAACUAACCCUUUAUUUUUAGUUCUCAAGAAAUCUUGUAAGAACAAAAUUCUUUUAUAACAAAACUUUUACAACACAUUAAUUUGUAACUCAUUCCUGUGCGAGAAUCACUCUCAAAUUCCUUCAAUUGCUGUUGAACAAUCAUCUGCUUAUCAAAAUUCAAGCAUAAUCUUUUCUUUUUUUUAAUUUCUUCAUCAUUCUUUUGAAAAAAAAAAAUCAGGAUAUGCUGUUAAAAUUUUGAAAUAAAUUAUCUCAAAAUAAUUACUAACCAGAAAAAACAAAGGGGUUUAACUAGGUUAUGCAUACCUUUGAAAAUUAUAUGUUGAUCGAUAAGAAUGAUGAUCACGAUUGAGGAGUUUAAUUAAAAUAUAUAAGAUUUUAAAAUUAAUCAGGGUUAAAUUGUGAAUUUUAGAAAGAGAGGUUUUGUGAGAAUGCUGAAAGGGUGUUAAUAGUUCCACUCUUUUUAAAAGCAACCAUAGUCAUCAUUUUUCCCGAUUUCUUCUUCCCAUCUCCAUCUUAUUUAGAAAUUUCCCAGAGCCUUUGUUUCCCACCUUUCAUUGUUCUUCUUUCUAAUUUAAUACUAUAGGAUUACAAAAAUAAUUACUCACAUUUUAUCAAACACCUCCAUUCUACCAAGGCCUUGUUUUAGUAGUAGGCUUUUAUUAUCUCAAUAAAAUUGAAAAAACAAAUCUCAAUAAUAUUGGAAAAAAAAAACCUACCCAUAUUUGUAACUUUAAUUUAUUAUUCUCCAUAGACCUACUUUUUAGCUUUGAAUUUUGUUGGAGCCAUAUAUAAACAGAAUAUGUUGAAUCAGCACCAAAAAAAAAAAAAAAAAACUAAUUAUAUAAUUUCUGUUCCCAAGGACAUGACUGAUUGAUUUUCAAGAAGUUUUGUUUGGCUGGCUACUUAGGUUUAAAUCUUGGUGGAGAUUAGGGGUUAAGAAAUAAAUUUGGACUUUGCACACCCCUUUAACUUUUAAAAAGAAAUGAAAAAAACUAAUUAAUUAAUCUUUAUUUUAUUUAUUAAAUAUCAUAAUCCUAUGCGUAUUUUAUUUGUUAUCUUUCUAUUUAAAAGACAGGAGGGCAGAUAAAACUGAAAUAAAUUUUUAGCCCUAUCUCCAUCUUUCAAGUUCCAUAGUUAGGUGACCAGGUAAAGAAAAUUAAUUGAAAGCUACUCCAUCAAAUUAAAAAAUUUUAUUUAUUUAAUUUGUGGAGAUGUAGAAAAUCAAACCCCAUGCCUUUUCGCGUGGAAAAGUGUCAACCUGGUCUAGCUAUGUUGCAAAAGUGAACAUAUUUUAAUACAUGACUAUCAUCCUUUAUCCUAAAUACUACUAUAACUAAUAACAUACAAUUGAAAUAAUUAAUGUUAACACUUGGCUAUAAAUAAAGGUUUUGUGCUUGAAUCUUCACGCAUGACCUUCAUUCCUUUAUUUACUUUGCUAACACAGAUUUUGAGGCAUUAAAACUAAAUAAUAAUUGACUUUGUGGGCCGAGGAUGCCAGCAACAAGGAGACCACAAUUAUCACUUGUUAAGUUACUCUAAUUGCCGUUGUCUUAUAUUCAUAGAAUAUUAGUAAUAAGAUUAUUGUAGAAUUUUUUUAUAUUAAAAUUAAGUCAAUUUGUUAUAACAAAUUUAGUUGAGUUUAAUCGUGUUACCACAUAAAUUGAAUAAUAAUAAAAUUCUCGACAAAUAUUUCAAUAUUUUUAUCCCAAGCGUUGGAGUGGCAUUUAUUUGUUAUACGAUCAAUUUUAGAAUUUAUAAAAUUAUUCGUUACUGAAUUGCACCAUAUGCUGCAUGACCUGAAACUUAAUAAACGGAACGUAGCGUUGGCACCGUUACUCAACAUACUGUUACGACUUUGUGACAUUAGAAUUAAAAUCUUUUGCACAUUUAAUUUGUUUACUUCCAAAUUAAUAUUUAACAAAAUAUUUUUUCACAUUAUCAAUGGACAAAACUCCAACGAAAAUAACUACACAAGAAAAAUGUAUGCUAGUAUUGUGUGCCAUAUCAUCUGUAAUUUUGUCAGGAUCGAUCAUUCUAAUUUUUAAGCAGAACUUUUUAUCAAUGGACAAACACCUCACACAGCUUGUCAGAGGCAUUAUUAUGAUGGAAAACUGUAAUGGUAUAUCUUGAAUUAUUGGUAGAAUAGUUCUUUGGAGCAAUAAAAACAGAUAAGACAGAUGAGAAAAUUGUCAAUACCCCACCGCAAAAGCAAAAGAAAAAAAGGAAAGGAGACAAAAGAGGAAGAAGAAAAAGAAAAAAGAACGAAGAAAAAAAUGGUGCCGCGCGGUAUAGGCAAGAAGAAAAAAUAAUAAUAAAAUAAUAAAAUAAUAGUGCACAACAGUCAUUUGAUUGCUAUAAAUAAAGGGGCAUUUCCCUCAUUUUAUUCAUCGAAUUCUUCAGUUCCUAAGCGAUUUAAGAGUCUAGUGAUUUGAGAGUUUGGGUAUAGUAUAGUUUUGAGUAGUGAGUUAAAAUAUUACAAUACUUAUAACUUAUUUUUACUAAUAAAAUAUUUUUCUUCUAUCUUCACCCGUGGACGUAGGGUCAAAGCCGAAUCACAUAAUUUUUAGUAUCCCUAUGUGAUUAUGUAUCUCAUUAUUUUUCAAUUUUACUUUAGUUACGUGUCUGCUACAUCCUUCAAUUUACUAACAAAAAUGGCCAAAAUUAUAUAAGUGACCCAAAUUUUUUUGCUAUUUCCAAGAAAUCUCCAAUCUGAAUGGGCCAGACCAGAGGGAGGCAAGUUAGAAAUACGUUUCCUUCAUAGACAAUAACAGCGAUGAGUCGAUGACAUCGAGCCACGUCGGUAUCAAUAUUGAAUUAAAGGUGCAAUUAUUCAGCCAAUGAGCCUUACACAUCAAGAUAAAAGUCAAGAAAAUGAAUAUUUAUCCUAAUUAAAACACUUUCUGGCUGCAUUUAGUUGUUUCCAUUUGAAGUUAAAAGCAACGUUUCUUUCGUUUUGUGGGCAACUCGACUCAGUUAGCUGGCUUCUAGUGCUAGUAAGUGAAAAUAGAAGGCUAAUGAUUUAUUUGUUAUCUUUUGAUAAAAUUAUUAAAGAUAUAAUAGAUUUUUCAUGAUACAAAUAAAAAAUCACAUCAACAUAGCUUCCAAAGUACAACAGCUAAUGUUUACCAAACACUUUGUUGUAGCUUUUAAGCUACAGCUGCCCAACUUUAAUUUCAAAUGCACCCUUAAUAGGUUGAUUGAAUUUGUGGGAUAUAGAUUCCACAUAUCGUAUGACCUAGUAACUAUACAAGUGGUUCGUGAUCAAGACACAACAUUUGCUUCCGGCCCGGUGACCCAGCAAUCGCUGCAUUGGUCGCCACCUAUGGUGCCAACGAUAUUGCAUGGUCCAAUUGUGGCCUUGAAUGGAAAAAGUUGAGCAAAUUAUUUGUGGACACGAUGAUAAGUAACGCAAGCCUUGAUGCUAGUUAUGGUCCAAGAAAACAAGAGAUAUGCAUAACAACAAAAAGGAAAAAAAAAAAAAAAAAAAAAAAGGCAUUUGCAAGCCCAUUGAUAUUGGUGAAUUGUCGAUUUCAACUUUGGCAUGUGUAAUCCAGAGCCUGCGCGCUGUGGUGUGGCGCUGGCACGCUUGCAUUGACGAGGGGACAAGUCUUGGGGCUGAGCUAACAUUUAAGCUCGCAGAACUCAUGGUGCUAAUGGGAACACCAAAUAUUUUUUGACAUAUUUUGGUGCUUUCAUGGUUUAAUUCAAGGUAUAGAAAGGAGUGUUGAGAAUGUCAAAUAAAACGGUAUUGAAUGGAAGUUGUUAAAGACACGAUCCGCACCGAACGACAACAGCACGGUUGCUAAAAAUCCUUCCGUAAUAGGCAUAUCUAAUUUUUGAAAAAGUGUAACCUCUACAUUUAUAAAUAUACUCAAUGUAUAAUGUUUUACUUAAGAAAUGAAAAACUUGUUUGUUCAAGGAGAAUAAAGAAAAAUUUUCUAUGAUUUUUCUAUGGUUUGAACAAAGAAGGUUUUAACGAGUAUUAUAGACCUCGAUUGAAUGUUCGAAUGUAUAAUAAAAGAGAAACUGUCACAUAAAUGACAAAGAUACUUGAAAAAAAAAAAAAAGGGCAGCAAUAGAGAAUUAGAUCCGACUGUACAAAUAACUAGUUAAUUCAUCGAUACAUCAUUUUCUUGCUAGAAAAUGACAAUUAUGACAGCAAGCCACGAUAGUGUCAAUAUUGAAAUUGAUUUGCAAUUAUUCAGCCUAUGAGCCUUACACGUCAAGAUAAAAGUCAAGAAAAUGAAAGUUAAUAUCAAUUAAAACACUUCCAUUUCUAUGUGAAGUUAAAAAACAACGUUUCUUUUGUUUUGUGGGGGAUUCAACUGAGCACGCGCCACUAGCUAGCUGGCUUCUAGUUCUAGCAUAUGAAAACAGAAUUCUAAAGAUUUCACUUUCACCUUUUUUCUUUUUUUGGGGUUUUGAAUCAAAGUCAAGGUCGCACUGAAUAAUAUGUAAAAUUUGAAAAAGAAGAAUUAAUAGAGAACAAAGUUUUGUUUUAAAUUCACAUGGUGUGCAUACAAUUCAACAAACACUUCCUAUAAUAAAUCUGGAGUUGUAUCCCACGUUGAACAAUAAAGGAAAGUCACCUAAAUAUACAUGUAGGAUAAGUUACUUUAUUUAGUAAGUUUGUAUUUUCUUCUUUCUUCUAGUUUACAUAUAAAUUUGAUUAGAUAACUUAACACAUAUUUUAAUACUUGAUCAGAAGCCCGACGUACAGGUGGAUCUAGAAACUUGAUUUCUAAGAGUAAUACUAUAAUAAAAAAAUAAUGAUUCAUAGAACCAAUAUCAAAAUUUGUUUACAAGAUUGCCCCCACUCAAAGGUAAUUUUCAUAGAAAUUAAUAGGAAAUUUAAUUGUUAGUGGGGUCAAAUUGCCCCCACACUCUGAAUGUAGAUCCACGCCCGACCCUGAGUCAAGUAUAUUUUGCCACAUAUACUCUGAAUGUCGGCAGGAAAAAUCUUCCACUUUAGUUAAAAAUUUUCACUUAAAAAAUAUUUAUGUUAAUAAAGUUCGUAAAGGAAAUGAGUUUAAUUAAUGAAUAUUAUAGGAGAAAUUAAAGGAAAUGAGUUUAAUUAAAGAAUAUUAUAGGAGAAAUUCUAUUGUUCGGCUUUUAAUAAAUUAAUUAAUAGGUUUAAAAGAUUAAUAUACAUCAAAAUAUUAUUAGUUGGUGGGGGUUCCACAUCGGACUAAUACGUGUCACCUUACUUGUGAGAUUAAGACAAUCGACUUAGACUAUUUAAAUAUGUUUGAAGCUUAGAUGGCACCGCUUCAAUUUGCAUUACUGAAUGUCAUUCUUUAUCCUAAUUACUACCGUAAUUGAUAACAUGCAAUUGAAGUAACUAAUAUUAGCACUUGGCUAUAAAUGAACUAAAGGCCGUGCAAUUGAAUCUUUACUUGAUCACUUCACUCCUUUAUUUUGCUAACACAGAUUUUGAGAUAUUAAAACGAAAUAAUAAUUGAAUCUGGCUUUGUGGGUCGAUGAUGCUAGCAAAAACGAGACCACAAUUAUCACUUGUUUAUUUGCUGUAUUUGACGUUGUUUCAUAUUGGUAGUAAUAGGGUCAGUUUUUAAUCUUUUUAUAUUAAAGUUAAGUCAAUUUGUUAUCAAAAAAAAAAAUUGGUUGAGUUUAAUUAUAUUGCUAUGUACAUUAAAUAAUUAUAAUAUUCUUGAGGGAAAAAGACACCUAGAACCUCAAGGUUUGGGGAAAUGGUCACAAAGACUCCUAAGUUUUAAAAAAGGAACACUAAGAUCUUUUUUUACCCAUAAUACCCUUUGACUAGAGUAAUUAAAAAAUUGACUUUAAAGGUUUUUAAAUAAUUCUAAUUUAAUAUAAAUCAUAUAAUCUAUCUAGUAAACUAAUAAUAUUAAAUUAUUUUUUAUAUUUAAAAUAAUGUUAAAUUUUAAAUUAUUAUAUUUAUAAAAUUAUAAAGAUUUUAAAUAAAUAUUUGGAUUGAAUAUAUUUUACAAUUAAAAGUCUUCCUAUUAAUAAUAUUAAAAUUUAAUUUUACAAAAUAUAUAUUCAAAAUAUUUUUAAUUUUAAUUUAUUUAUUUUAAUAUUAUGUUUCUACCUAUUAUUAAAAAUUACUUUAAUAUAAUAAAAUAGGUCUAAUAGAUUGAAAAAUAUGAAAAUAUUUUUAAAAUUUUAAAUUAUUUUGAAAUGUAUAUAUUAUUACAUUUAUUUCAAUGUCAUAUUUUCAUUUAUUAUAAAAUUUUGGGGUUAUUUUUUUGGGAAUUUAUAGAGUCAAAGAGCAUUAUAAUUUAAUCCAUGCACAAUAUCUAUAAUUAUAUCGGUUGUCGGCUGAUUUCGUGGAGGGGGCGGCAGUUCAAAAUUUUUACGUGCAUGUUGGAUGGACGUCUCUAUUAAAGGAGAGCCACCACUUGCAUGGUAAUUUUUUUAAAUAAAUAUAUACAUUUCAAAACAUUAUUUUCUUGUUGUAUAGUUAACAUGUCACCUUAGAUGUAUUUUAGAGCUUCUCCUAUUAAAGAUAAUCUCAUGCAGUGUUACAGAGUAUGGUAAUAUGGUAUAGAUGAGAGCAUCUGAUUAAAUGAAGCAGCUGGUAAUGCUUACGUGUGUGAGUUAGUUAUCCAGCUCAGCAGCAAAGCAAACGAAAUGAAUUGCAUGCAUAUUAGAUCCAACAAACUGGUAAACUCUAGAUUCUUCUUUCAUUUAGUAUAAAUACCAAGUUGUUAUCAUUUGCUAAAUAUAUAAUAAGAUGAUCAUUUUCAGAUCUUUCCUUUAUAAUUUUCUAUAACUUUCUCGUUAGUUUCUCUUGAACCAAACACUUUGUACGAACUCUUUCGUGCAGUGAUACUUCUCGUGAUCUAAUCAUUAGUAGAAUCUAUAAUUUCGCUACUGUAAUAAAAUCUGUCACUACCCUAUAUGAAUGUAGAUAUUUGACGCGAUUUGUAAUUGCUUCCGACAGGAAAACAGCAAUAGUUUUAUUGAAAUUUGUGGUAUAGAUUCCACGAAUCUUAUGACAGAAUACUGACCACUCCAACCCUAUCCGCAUUUACACGAUUAAUACACAAGCUUAGAUGUGACAAUGCAUUUGUCACUCAUUCAAAUUCAUCCUGAAACACUAUACACUAAAUAAUCGAAUAUGGCUUCGUGGGUCGAUGAUGCUAGCAGCAACGAGACUGCAAUUAUCACUUGUUUUGUUGCUGUACUUGUCGUGGUCUAUUUCGCAUGGAAUGUAAACAAAUCAAGUAAAGCAAAUGCUAAAUUGCCACCAGGACCUCGGGGCUUGCCAGUAGUCCGAUACCUCCCAUUUCUUGGAACUACUGACUUACACAAGACAUUCACGGAGUUAUCUGGAGUUUAUGGUCCGAUCUUCAAGAUUUGGCUUGGGAAUAAAUUGUGUGUAGUGGUGACCUCGCCUACCCUAGUUAAACAAGUGGUCCGUGAUCAAGAUAUAACAUUCUCAAACCGCGACCCACCGAUCGCUGGAACUGUGACCACCUACGGUGGCAAUGAUAUUGCACUUUCCAAUUACGGUCCCGAAUGGAAAAAGUUGCGAAAAUUAUUUGUGAGCAAGAUGAUGAGUAAUGAGACCCUUGAUGCUUGUUAUGCUCUAAGAAAACAAGAGGUUAAAAAUACUAUCAGGGAUUUGUAUAACAACAAUAAGGAUAAUAUUGGCAAUGGCAAUGGCAAGCCCAUUGACGUUGGUGAAUUGUCGAUUUCAACUUUGGUACGUGUUAUGCAGAACAUGCUGUGGGGUCAAGCAUUGGAAACAAGAGAGAAAGAGAUUACUAAUCUCGGGGCUAAUCUUGCAGAACUCAUGGUGCUACUGGGAACACCAAAUAUUUCGGAUAUUUUUCCAGUGCUUUCAUGGCUUGACAUGCAAGGUAUAGAGAGAAGAGCUAAGAAGAUUUCUCUAUGGUUUGAAAAUAUUAUCAAUUCUGGUGUUGAACAGUAUAGAAACAAGUUCUCUGUUGUUAAAGGUGAAGAAGCUGCAGCACGAAAAAAUAUUGAACGAUCAAGAAAUAAGGACUUCUUGCAGUUGCUGUUGGAGCUUCAGGAAAAUGAAGAUAGUGCUUCAUCUAUUAGCAUGAACCAACUAAAGGCCGUGCUCGUGGUAUGUUAAGCAACUAGACACAAAAAGUUGUAAAAGCACAGCGAUAUAUUUGCGCGAGGCCCCGAGUGAUGUUUUGCCUCGAGAACUCUCAAUUUUAUCUUACGGUAAAAAAUGUUUUUCAACUUUUUUUUUUAAUUAGAAUUUUAUUGCAAUUUAUUUAACAGGACAUAAUUGUGGCCGGAACCGACACCACAACUACGAUGGUGGAAUGGACAAUGGCAGAGUUGAUGCAACAUCCACAAGUAAUGAAGAAAGUUCAAGAAGAAUUCGCUCAAGCUGUGGGCAUGGACAGUUGUGUUGAAGAAUAUCACUUGCCUAAAUUAAAGUAUUUAGAUGCUGUGGUGAAAGAAACAUUUCGUUUGCAUCCUGCGUUGCCCUUAUUGGUACCUCGCACGGCAAGCAAGAAUAGCAACAUUGGUGGCUAUACCAUUCCCAACGACACUAAUCUUAUGUUGAAUGUUUGGGCUAUCCACAGGGACCCUCAACUUUGGGAUAAUCCCUUAGAAUUUCGACCUGAGAGGUUCUUGAAUGAUGGUAUCAUAAGCAAUUUCAAUUACUCGGGUAACAAUUUUCAGUACUUGCCAUUUGGUUCUGGUAGAAGGAUGUGCGCUGGGAUUGCUCUAGCUGAGAGGAUGUUGAUGCUUGUUCUGGCUUCGUUGUUGCACUUGUUUGAGUGGAAAUUGCCCUCGGGCACAAA